ACUACUAUUGCUGAUAGGUUUGUGAACUAAUAAACAUUCUUUUUAUGUUCCUGUGAUGUUUCAUAUUUUUGUGAACUGGUAGUUGAUGCUCUUUGUGGACUGAUAGCUGAUACUUUUUGUUAACCGAUAAACUGAAUAAAUGAGAUGGAUGUAUUAUCAGGCCGCGAAAAUGAUGUAAAAAAUAUGUGCAGUUCAGCGGAUGAGUAUUAUGCAUGUCCUUCUAAUCUAAAGGUAGUGGCACCACUAAGAAAAACAAAAUAAUCAGUUUUUUGUAGCCACGGAAUGGGCAUUUGGCUCAGUAAUCUUCCAUUGCUAGAGGUACUGCCUCUUGAGUUAAUUUAUGAAACUGAAAUCAUCCUUUUUAUGUUUUCGUGUUGUCAAAUAAAACCAAUUUUUUUGGACAUGCGGCGCUCAAGCCGUUCACCCUUACCACCACAAGCCGUUCACCUCCGCCACACGAGGCCGUGCGACGACGCAACUAUCAGAACGUUCACCUCUGCCAUAGGAGGCUGAUGCAACGCUAAGAAUGUUUUGUUCUUUUUCAGUACAUGUUUUGUGUGCUUUUUAGUACACCUACUUAACGAUUCUAUGUCCAAUUUCCCCUGUUUAAGUGUUCUUCCUAUAGCACAAUAGGAGUUGUGUGUUAUGCCUUAAUAAGCAUUUGAGAAAACCUUGUAUGGAUCGAAACUAGCAUAUGUUAUGUUCUAUUCUUGUAAAUGAAGCUCCACUUUUGUUUCGUUUGAGGUUACUUAACAUAAAAGUUAGUAUAUGUUCUAUUGUAAAAACAUAUCUAAAAUGUCAUGACGCAUGCUAGCAGAAAUCUGAAAAUACACUCAGCUCAGUUCUUAUAUUUUAUUUCAGUUCAAUUUAGAACUAUUUGCAACUGUUCAGACUCGAGUGUUCCUAUAUUUUAUUUCAGUUCAAUUUAGAAGUAUUUACAACUAUUUACACUUGAGUUUACAACGGAAAAACAUUUGGAAGUUUAGCGAGCGAAAAUACUUGUUAGAUUAAUUUAAAAAGUGUCAUAUAGUUCAACUUUUAUAUAUAAUAAAUUCAUAAUGAAAUGUGGGAACAAUUCAAUAUGUGUGUGUGUUAAAAACAUAACAGUACAGAGAAAUUUGGUACGUACUUGUCGAAAAAAAUCGCAUCGGUUCGAGAGGCACGGAAAAGAAAAUUUGGCGCCAAUAAAGUUUGAGGGAAAAAACAACUUUAAAAGGAAACGUGAGAAGCUCACAAAUUAAUUAUGUGACAUUGACGUCCAAAUUCUACAACUGAUCCAUACAAACAAAAACGGUCGUCCGUUCUACAAAGGAAAAUUGAUUUAAUUAAAAAUAUUGAUCAGUACAAGUUAAAAACGAUGGUCCCUUCGAAAUAAAAGAAAUGAUAGAAAUUUAAAUUAUAAAAGUUCAAGCAAAAGGAAACCCCAUGUAAUUCAAAUGGUAAAAGUACAAGUCAUAAAAUAAGAGAAGUCUACAACAUUGUUGUAAAAAAAUGUUUAGAUAAAAAAAGAAUAAAAAAACAUUUUGUUUUUGAAAAAAAAUAUCAUUCAGUUUGAUGAUAUAAACCAUGCAAGUACAAGGCCGACGAUACAAUAACAUUCAGUUCAAUAAUAAAAACCAUGCAAGUUCAGGACUAAGAUACAGUAAACCGUUAAAAAUUUACGAGAAAAAUAUUACCCAAAAAACGGAGCAAAGUCUAGUUAGUAAAAAUAUGCUUAGUACAAACCAUGCAAGCAUCAGUACAAGUACUUUUUUCGAAACAAUUUAAAAUUACUCUACAAAAAAUAGCUCAGAACAAACAAACACAUAUAUCAGUACGACUACUCUGUUUUUCAAACGAGAAAACAGCAGGAUCCGUCAAACUGUAUUCAAGAUUACUCUUAAACGUUUGCGAGGUAGAGAAAACGUCCAACAUGACUAAGUUUCGCAUUUUCGAUAGCUAUCCAACGGUAUAUUAUUUGCCCCAUUUUGACAAACUUUUUAAAAAAACGCAUUCAAAACCAAUUUUAACCGUAUUUGAAUUCGUAUUUAAACCGUAAGGAAUUAGAAAAAACUUUCUAUACGCAAAAGUUGCGCAUUUUCCAUAGCUUUCCAACGCUCUAUCAUUUGCGUCAAUCCGAUAAACCGUUUGCAAAAAAUAGUGAAAAAACAUUUCGCCCACAAUUUCACCGUUUUUCAUAUUACUUUUAAAUCGUAUGGAAUUUGAAAUAAUAGUAGAUAUAUGAAAGAUGCGGAUUUUCAUAAGCUUUCCAACGCCAUCUCAUUUGCUCAAUUCCGACAAACCGUUUGAAAAUUAAGUCCAAAAUACGAUUCGCGUUUUCGGUUUUGAAAAAAAUGGUUUUUUUCAAAACUGCUCUUAAAUCAUAAUUUUUUGGUAAAAACAAAUUAUAAGAUUGUAAUGUGGAUGUCAAGAACUUUCCAACGAUAUAUUACACGCCCUGUUUUAACAGAAAAAUUACAAAAAAAUUUGAACUAAAGAAGACGAUUUUUGACAACGAGAGCAAGCAUUAGUUCAACUGCUCGAAUUUCAUCAGUUCAACCGCUUGAAUUCAUCAGUUCAAGUAGGGUAACAAAAUAAUAUUCUGUUACACGUGACAAAAUAACUCAGAUGUAUGUAUGUAUGUGUAUAUAUAUAGGACAACACUAUUCCAAUCUCAGAAUUAAAAUAGUUAUUUGGAUCACAGUGCCCUAUAUAGGCUCGAUGCGGAUGUUCCCGUAACAGAAUAAUAUUCUGUGUGUGUGCGCGCGACCACAGAAAAAGAAGGGGAAUAAGCCCACCCCACCUCCCCCCGAUCCUGAUCCCACCAGCUCCCGCACCUCCCGCCCGCCGCGCCGUCCCCAACGGGUGGCAUCGGCGCCGCCGCCACCUAGCCCCCAACCGGAGACACCGCGGAAGCCCCGCCAUGCCUCAACCGGAGACACCGCGGCCCCAACAUCCCGCCGCCGCCCCCAGCUUUCCCUGCCGUCAAUACGCGUCGCCGUCACGUUGUGCCACCACGCGCCGCCGGAGGUGGAGGAAGCUUCCUCCCCCACAGCGCUAACACCGUCCACCCCAUCCCCUACCGCUCCCUUCGGUGAGGUAAAUGAUGAGAUCCCCCACCCCCUCUGUACUCCUCCCCAAUCGUGCUUGUAUCUUCAAGAUCUGGGAUGUAGUUCUGGAGGCUUCUCCUCACUCCAUGAACGGGGUUGCUCAUUGGAACACACAAGCCAUGGUGGGCUGCAAUUCGGCGGGCACGUGCAAGUAGUUCAUCUUUGGCCUGUGGCGUCACCCUUUGCGCUGGCGAGCACCGGAGCUGGCCUGUGGCGUGGUCCUACUCGUCGUCCCUUGGUGCCGCUCGGCUGAAGAGAGAUGGAGCUCCGCACAACGUGCGAAGUUCAACGGGUGAGCCUACGCAGUCCGACGGUGCGUGUUGGGCAGAUGGUGAGCCUCCUCCGCCUGCUUCAGCCACGAGAGCGUCCAUUGUGACACUUGCACCGACGGAUCAGUGUGGAAACAACUCACGGACGGGGUUUCCUGUAUGCAGGCACGCAGCUGCCGCGGUGAAGCCCCUGCCUAUGUAGUUCAGUUUUGCCUACUGAUGCAUUCUCUGUUUCUUAACUAAACAUUUGUGAUAGACGUAUGUGUGUGCUUUCUACUGAUGUGUGUGUCGUGCAAUGGCAUUUUAGCUAGCACCCAAACAUGCUUCUUACUUUGUUGUAUGUACAAAAUUGUGGUUGCUCGCUUCUUUCUGAGUUACUUGAUUGUUGUACGUCUGUACUUCCUAUACCAGUGAUGAACCUGCAACUAGAGGAGGGCUCGGCCUGCAGCAAGAGGAGGGCACGACCUACAGCCGGGUGGCCACAUCCGGCAGAGAAGAUAGAUGCAGCUGGGUGAUGGAUCUUGCACGCGCCCCUCCGGCCAGGAGGCUGCCAAGCUGCUGGGUCGUUGGCCACCAGCAGAGCAGCAGCAGGUCAUCUUUCCCCACCUCCCCGUACAGAACGCUGACGAUGACAAGCUUCUCAGCCCCUCUGCCCUCCACCAGUAUUCCUUGUAGAAAUCGAGCGUUGGUCCCAACAAGCUAGGAGAGGUUCAUGUAUUUUUGCUCACGAGGGAAUUUUACCUAAGUUGACGCAAAAAAGUUCGUUUUGUAAUUCAUGGAAGUUUGAUGCCUAUGCUUUUGAGACUGAAACUGUUUUCAUUUCAUGAAAGCCAAAAAAAUUUGUGGAUGUGUUGUGGGGGUGUGUGUGUGUGUGCGCGCGCGCACGCGUAUUACUCUAAAUUUUAGAACUCUUUUUUGUCAUGUUUGUUUUCCAUAUUGGUUUUAUAGUGUCAGUUUUUUGUGUUCAUGGAGUAAAAAAUUAGGAAGUUCAAUUUUGAGAAAGCGGCAAGUUCACCCAAUACGGAAAACACUAAAACAUACAUUGAAUAGAAACUUUUUUAGUUAGGUUCAAAAUGAAAAGACAUGAUAAAAAAUUGAUCUCUGUUCUUUACGGUAAAAAUGCAUCAUGUAUUGGUCGGUUUCCUCAACUAGUUGCUCUCUGACACACAUUAUGUUGCUGCUUUCCUUUUCCUUCAUGAAACUGUUACAAAAAAAUAGAGCAUAGAAGUUCAAUAUUAAGAGUGAAAAAACAAGCGAGCAUUUCUUGAAGACAAAAAAAGGUUUAUGUGAAGUUCAUAUUCUCUACCACAGAUAGUUCAAUAUGUUCACUUACCGCAAAACACACACAUUGGGUAUCCAAAAACAAAGAGGCAAACAUACAAAAAUUCAAUGAAGCUCAAAUUUUAAAAAUAGAGAGGUCUGAAGUUUAUUAAAAAAAGAAAAAUAUUAUUCGUUUCUAAAAAAUAAAAUAAAACAUUCAGGUUUAAAUACCACAACAGUUGGAUGUUCAUUAAAAUACUCCUAGAAAAAUAACUAGGAAGUUCAAUUCUAAAUAAUAGAAUAGUUUGAAGUAUAUUAAAACCUUGGAUUUUUCUCGUUAUGAAAAGAAUAAAACCAAGAUUUUCCUCAUUACUAAAACAAUAAACCCAAGAAAUUCAAUUUAUAAAUAGUAGAGUGGUUUGAUGUUUUUACAAAACUCUCAUUUCUCUCGUUACUAAAGAAUAAACCAAGAAGUUCAAUUUAAUAACAGAGUAGUUCAAAAUUCAAAUAACACAAUUUUCUAUACAUAAGCUUUUCCAAGCGGUAUUAUCAUACCCGGCCGCCGGCCCGUGCGCCACCUGCUAUGGCUCCCAUCUCAGCUACACUUUGCCACCACCUUGAACCUCAGGGCACCGAAUAUGGUAAGGAUCCACUGAAAAUUUGAAAAAAGUGGUUCAACUACUACAUGGAGUGUGUUUCAAAUAAGAAAAAAAAGACAAGGUAUAAAAAGACUUUAGAAGUUCACGUGGUCGCCCCAGGAAGUUCAAAUAUUCUUGUAAAGGAGGUUCGCCGUCUAUUUACUUGUGCAAAAACACACACAAAAUGUCGUGCAACUCCGACGAACGGGUGGGGAAAUUACGAACAAAAAAAUUUGACCGAAGUUCAAUAUGAAAACAACGAGCAAUUCAACUAUUUAUAUAAAAUGUGUUUUCAGUUGAGAAUAAAAAGAAUACAAAACUAAAAGCCUAAAAGGUUUGUAGCGAGAAGUUCACGUGCUCCUCAUGCACAGUUGAAAAAUUAAAUUGUGAGACGUCUAACCUUCAAUUACAUGUAAAAGAGGAAAACCAAUGUUGUUUUUGGCAUUUUAUGCUCUCAAAAGGAAACGAAUUUGUAACAAGUGUCUACAUAAAAAAGUUGUUUAAGAAUAAAACCAAGAAGUUCAAUUAUAAAAGCAGAGCUAUUUGAUAUUUAUUUAAAAACUCAGUUUUCCCGGUUACUAAAGAAUAAGACCAAAAAGUUCUAUUCGAAAUAACGAAGAAGUUCAAUGUUUCUAACAAAACUCCAAUUUUCACAUUUCCAAAAAACACACAAAAAAGUUCAAAUAAAAAAGUUAGAGCGGUUCGAUGUCUAUAAAAACUCAGAUUUUUUUUCGUUACUAAAGUGAAAUCGAGAGAAGUUCAAAUUGACAACAGACGGAAGUUCAUGUACUGUAUGGUGUGUAUUUCGUAUGAAAAAACAGGAAUAAAAAGGUGAAGUCCAAAAAACUGUUGCUAGAAGUUCAAGUGCUCGGCCCGAGAAAGUUCAAAUUAAAGUAACAAAAAAUAGUUUCAAAAAUUUAAUUAGGAAAUGGAUUUCCCCGUUUGUAAAAAAACAUAGAAGUUCAAAUUAAAGCAAUGAGCGGUUCAAUGUUUAUUAAAAACUCGAAUUCUAACCGCUAAUAGAAAAUAAAACCAAUGUGAGGUUCGAAUUAAAAUAACAUGGAAGUUUGGAGUUUAUUAAAACCUAAGAUUGACAUGUUCGAAAAAAAGACAAAUGCGAUUUUGGAAUUUUUAAAACCAACUCAUAAAAUGAAUAAAAUUUCUUGCUAAAAGUUCAAGUGCUCGACAAGGGAAAGUUGGAAAUUGCUACCCACUUUAGGCACACAUAAUUCUCUCUCCCGUUUGUGUCUAUGCUUUUACAAAUAAAUCAAAAUUCAAAAAGAAUGUGGAGGGAGUCCAAUAUUUAUGACAAAACUAGGAUAUUUUGAUGAUAAAAGAAAUAAACUAAGAAGUCCAAAUUACAAAAUAAAGAAGUUCAAUAUUUAUAAACAACUCAUAUUUUCCUUGUUAAUAAAGAAUAAAAAUAACGAAGUUCUAAUUAAAAUAGAGUACUUCGAUGUAUACGGGAAACUCAGAUUAUUAAUGUUUCUAAGAAAAAAAGUAUGAAGUGCAAUUUACAAAAAAUGUUUAAUGCUUAUUUAAAAACAUAUUUUCUUUCUAAGAAUAUGACUAAGAAGUUCAAAUUAAAAUAACAGAGAAGUUCGAGGUAUAUAAAAAAAUCAGAUUUGUUGCAAGAAGUUCACGUGCACCUCCGUGCACGGUUUAGAAUUUAUAUUCCGGGAUGCCCGAACUCCAAUUACAUGUUUUAAAAUGGCAAAAAAUGACGUCCCACCUUCAAUUGCGUCCGAAGUUCAUAGUGAAAACAACGAGAAGUUCAAGUACUGCAAUGAAUGCAUUUCAGGUGAAAAUAAAAGUAUAGGAAAAUAAAAUCUUAAAAGGUUUGUUGAAAGAGGUUCAAGUGCUUUGUCCGGGGAAGUUCAAAAAUUCUUGUGAGAGAGGUUCACCUUGUAUUUCCAUGUUCGUAAACACAAAAAAGAAAUUGUUUUUUGCCUUUUAAAAUAAUUCUCUCAAUGCACAAAGAAGUUUAGUUAUUAUUUGGGAGCAAUUUGAUUUCAAAAAGAAAAUAAAAAAUUCAAUUAUAAAAAUGGAAAAAGUUCUUGUACUACAUGGUGUGUUUAAUAUGAGAAAAAUGAAUAAAAAGGCAAGGUCCAAAUAUUUUGUUGUUAUAAGUUCAAAUCCUCGGUCGGAGAAAGUUAAAAAAAUAUUUGUGAGAAAGGUUUGUACAAAAGGAAUAUCUUUUGUGUAACACUGACGAAUGAAUGAGGAAAUUACAAACGAAAAUACGUCACCGAAGUUCAACGUGAAAACAACAGGAAGUUCAACUACUAUAGUGAAUGAAUUUCAGAUGAAAUCUUUUUAAAAUAGUCACGAGUAUGAAAAAACGAUCAACACGGGAAAGUUGUGUGUUUACAGCAGUUUUCCAACAGUAUAUCACUUGCUCAAUUCCGGUGAGUGGAUGGAGAGCUACAAGUAGUGGAUGGAGAUCUACAAGCAAAUAAAGCACGUGAAAAGCAGAGUGAAGUUCAGGUACACACGCCGAGAAGUUCAGGUUCUUCACGCGGUGCAUUUUCGAAUAAUGUCUUUCGCGAUAAAGGCAGAACGAAUGAUCUUGCCAUUUUUGAAAUUACAUGAAAACGGCUAAGAAUCAGAGAAAAUCCUCAACAUGGAAAAGUUUUGCAUCUUCCGUAGCUUUUCAGCGGUAUAUUAUUUGCCUCAUUCCGAUAAAGUUUGUAGAAAUUACGGGGAAAAUAUGUUUUUAGCCAUUUUUAAAAUUGACUUAAAAUUGUAAGGAAUUGCGAGAAACAAUAUAUACAGAAGAGUUUCGCAUUUGUUCAAGCUUUCCAACGCCAUAUCAUUUGCUCCAUUCAGACGUACGGUUAAAAAAUUAGCUUGAAAAUACUAACUCGGUAGAACUUGUAUCAUUUUAUAAAUUACUUUUAAACCGUUCAAAAUUAGAAAAAAACUUUUAACAUAAAAAAGUAGCGCAUUUUCAUAAGCUUUCCAAAGCCAUAUUAUUUGCCUCAACUGGAUUCGCCGUUUAGAAAGGGCAUCAAAAAUACGAACUCGGGUGUUCCGUUUGUGAAAUUCUACGAUUUUCCAAAUUACUCUUUAUCCAUAGGGAAUUAGAGAAAACUUUCAACAUGUGGAAGGAGCGGUUUUACAGCAGCUUUCCAACGCCAUAUUAUUUGCCUCAUUCCGAUAAAUAGUUUAGAAAUGCGAUCGAAAAUACGAUUCACGUUUUUUAUAUGAGGAAAAAACGGUUUUCAAAACUGCUCUUAAACCAUGUACAUUUUGCCAAAAAUUUAACUUGGGUCAUGAUACUCAUGUCCAUAGCUUUCCAACGGUAUAUAGCAAGCCCCAUUUGGACAAAGUUGGCGGAAGUUCAACCUAGCACUCAGAGAAGUCCAGGUCAAACAACUCAGGCAGUAAAAUUGCAAAAAACGCAAUUUCAUCACGACCUAGGAGCAAAAUCCGCCAACGAGCGAGAUUCCUAUUUUAAACUGGUAUUUAGUUGCUAAAAACAUUUCUAGAUUACACUAACAUCAUAUAGAACAUGACUAAACAGAAUAAUUCACGGGGAAAGCCAUGGUUGCGAAGAUAGCACGAAGGUCGGGCUCGUACAGAGGGAAGUUUAGGCGUGUUACUCAGGCAGUUUAGGUUGUGAUUAGAAUAAAUUCUGAUCCCGUGAUCAGAAUAGUGUUUAUGUGUCUAUAUAUAUAUAUAUAUAUAUAUAUGUAAUAAAGACUAGUUUUGAGUUGAGGGCUUUGCUUUCUUGCUAUGAUCUUGAGGGAAUAAAAGAAAAGAGAAUACAAAGAAACAAAAAGAUCAUAUAGUGAUCUUAUGGAGAGUAAUGACUUCACAUAUAAAGAGUAUGAUGAAUAAAAGUUGUUCAGAGUUGACAAACAUAGUUUUGUUCAUUGUUGCAAUUAAUAGGAAGUAAUAAAGAAAGAGAGGCUUCACAUAUAAAUAUACUAUCUUGGACAUAUUUUGUAAUUGUGAGCACUCAUUAAAACAUGACAUGCUAAAAGGUUGAUGUUGGACAAGGAAGACAACAUAAUGGGUUAUGUUUUCUUAUAUCCGAAUAGAAUUUAUAUUGUCAUGGAUCCUCCAACAUGUUGAGAUUGCCUUUCCCUCUCAUGCUAGCCAAAUUCUUUGCACCAAGUAGAGAUACUACUUAUGCUUCCAAACAUCCCUUAAACCUGUAUUGCCAUGAGAGUCCACCAUACGUACCUAUGGAUUGAGCAAGAUCCUUCAAGUAAGUUGUCAUUGGUGCAAACAAUAAAAAUUGCUCUAUAAAUAUGUAUGAUCUAUUAGUGUGAAGAAAAUAAGCUUUAUACGAACUUGUGAUACAGAAGAAAUAAAAGCUACAGACUGCAUAAUAAAGUUCUUUAUCACAAGCGGCAAUAUAAAGUGACAUUCUUUUGCAUUAAGAUUUUGUGCGUCCAACCAUAAAAGCGCAUGACAAUCUCUACUUCCCUCUGCGAAGGGCCUAUAUUUUACUUUUAUCUUCUACCUUAGACAGGAGUCAUGGUGAUCUUCACCUUCCCUUUUCACAAUUUUUCUUUUGGCAAGCACUAUGUGAGGGAGAGAUCCAGAUAUUUAUAUCCACUCAGAUGUAGGUUAUCAUAAAGUAUUAUUGUUGACAUUACCCUUGAGGUAAAAGGUUGGGAGUUAAAACUAUAAGCCCCUAUCUUUCUCUGUGUCCGAUUGAAACUUUGUACCCAUAAGCAUCGCGUGAGUGUUAGCAAUUGUGAAAGACUAAAUGAUAGUUGAAUACGUGGACUUGCUGAAAAGCUCUUAUAUUGACUCUUUUCGAUGUUAUGAUAAAUUGCAAUUGCUUCGAUGACUGAGAUCAUAGUUUGUUAGUUUUGAAUGCAGUUUCUGAUUCAUACUUUACCUUGUGAAUGAAUUGUUACUUUAGCAUGAGAAAUUAUAUGACACUACAUGUUGUUGUCCUAAAGAUGAUCAUCAUGCCCUCAUGUCCGUAUUUUAUUUUAUCGACACUUCUAUCUCUAAACAUGUGGACAUAUUUUUCGAUUUCGGCUUUCGCCUGAGGACAAGCGAGGUCUAAGCUUGGGGGAGUUGAUACGUCCAUUUUGCAUCAUGCUUUUAUAUUGAUAUUUAUUGCAUUAUGGGUUGUUAUUACAUAUUAUGGUACCAUACUUAUGCCUUUUCUCCCUUAUUUUACAAGGUUUACAUGAAGAGGGAGAAUGUCGGCAGCUGGGAUUCUGGACUGGAAUAGGAGAAAAUAUUAGAGAGCUAUUCUGCACAACUCCAAAAGUCCUGAAACUUCACAGAGAAUUAUUCUGGAAUAUAUAAAAAAAUAUUGGGCGAGGAAAGCACUAGAGGGGGGCCACCUGCCAUCCACAAGGGUGGGGGCACGCCCUACCCCCUAGGCGUGCACCCCUACCUUGUGGGCCACCUGGCAGGCCCCCGAUGCCCAUCUUCUACUAUAUGGUGUGUUUUGACCUAAAAAUUCAGAAGAAGCACCGCUGUCUCGAGGCGGAACCUGAGCAGAACCAAUCUAGGGCUCCGACGGAGCUGUUCUGGUGGGGAAACUUCCCUCCCGGAGGAGGAAAUCGAAGCCAUCGUCAUCACCAACGAUCCUCUCAUCGAGAGGGUGCCAAUCUCCAUGAGUAUCUUCACUAGUACCAUAUCCUCUCAAACCCUAGUUCAUAUCUUGUAUCCGAUCUCUGUCUCAAAACCUCAGAUUGGUACCUGUGGGUUGCUAGUAGUGUUGAUUACUCCUUGUAGUUGCUGCUAGUAGGUUUAUUUGGUGGAAGAUCAUAUGUUCAUAUCCUUAAUGAUAAUUAAUACUCCUCUGAUUAUGAACAUGAAUAUGCUUUGUGAGUAGUUACGUUUGUUCCCGAGGACAUGGGAGAAGUCUUGUUAUAAGCAAUCAUGUGAAUUUGGUAUUCGUUCGAUUAUUUUGAUGAGAGGUAUGUUGUAUUUCCUCUAGUGGUGUUAUGUGAACAUCGACUACAUGACACUUCACCAUUGUUUGGGCCUAGGGGAAGGCAUUGGGAAGUAAUAAGUAGAUGAUGGGUUGCUAGAGUGACAGAAGCUUAUACCCUAGUUUAUGCGUUGCUUCGUAAGGGGCUCGUUUGGAUCCAUAUGUUUCAUGCUAUGGUUAGAUUUAUCUUAAUUAUUCUUUCAUAGUUGCGGAUGCUUGCGAGAGGGGUUAAUCAUAAGUGGGAGGCUUGUCCAAGGAAGGGUAGCACCCAAGCACCGGUCCACCCACAUAUCAAAUUAUCAAAGUAACGAACGUGAACCAUAUGAGCAUGAUGAAAACUAGCUUGACAGUAAUUCACAUGCGUCCUCGGGAGCGCUUUGCUUUAAAUAAGAGUUCAUCCUGGCUUGUCCUUCGCUAAAAAAGGAUUUGGACACUUGCUGCACCUUAGUUACUUUUAUUACUUGUUACCCGUUACGAAUUAUCUUAUCACACGACUAUCUAUUACCGAUAAUUUUAGUGCUUGUCAUUUCCUUCUGCUCCUCGUUGGGUUUGACACUCUUACUUAUCGAAAGGACUACGAUAGAUCCCCUACACUUGUGGGUCAUUAGGAAGCGGCAACGGACUGUCCAAGUGAAUCCCAAAUAAAAAAGGAAAAAAUGAGAGAAAAGGGAGAAGGGACAAUCUUACUAUCCUUUUUUCCACACUCGUGCUUCAAAGUAGCACCAUGUUCUUCAUGAUAGAGAGUAUCCUAUGUUUUCACUUUCAUAUACUAGUGGGAAUUUUUCAUUAUAUAGAACUUGGCUUGUAUAUUCCAAUGAUGGGCUUCCUCAAAUUGCCCUAGGUCUUCGUGAGCAAGCAAGUUGGAUGCACACCCACUUAGUUUCUUUUUGAGCUUUCAUACACUUAUAGCUCUAGUGCAUCCAUUGCAUGGCAAUCCCUACUCACUCACAUUGGUAUCUGUUGAUGGGCAUCUCCAUAGCCCGUUAAUACGCCUAGUUGAUGUGAGACUUUCUCCUUCUUUUUGUUUUCUCCACAACCACCAUAUUCUAUUCCACCUAUAGUGCUAUAUCCAUGGCUCACGCUUAUGUACUGUCUGAAAGGUGAAAAAGUUUGAGAACACUAAAAGUAUGAAAAUUUUGCUUGGCUUGUCAAUGGGGUUGUGCAUGAUGAAAUACUUUGUGUGAUGAAGAUGGAGCAUAGCCAGGCUAUAUGAUUUUGUAGGGAUAACUUUAUUUUGCCAUGUUAUUUUGAGAAGACAUGAUUGCUUUAUUAGUAUGCUUGAAGUAUUAUUGUUUUUAUGUCAAUAUUACACUUAUGUUUUGAAUCUUAUGGAUCUGAAUAUUUAUGCCACAAUAAAUAGGAUUACAUGUAUAAAUAUGUUAGGUAGCAUUCCACAUCAAAAAUUCUAUUUUUAUCAUUUACCUACUCGAGGACGAGCAUAAAUUAAGCCUGGGGAUGCUUGAUACGUCUCCAACGUAUCUAUAUUUUUUAUUGUUCCAUGCUAUUGUAUUAUCUAUUUUGGAUGUUUUAUAUGCAUUAAUAUGCUAUUUUAUAUUAUUUUGGGACUAACCUAUAUCAACCUAGAUCCCAGUGCCAGUUUAUGGUUUUUCCUUGUUUUUGAGUUUUACAGAAAAGGAAUAUCAAACGGAAUAAAACUUUCACGAUGAUUUUUCUUGGACUAGAAGACACCUAUAGGACUUGGAGAGGGGGGCAGAAGGUUCUCGAGGAGGACACAAGCCUACCAGGCGCGCCCUAGGGGGGGGGCACACCCUGAGGGCUUGUGGGCCCCUCGGAGGUCUCAUAACCCUAAUCUUUGCACUAUAUAUUCCCAAAUAUUGCCAAACCAUCAGAGGCAUCCACCAAAAUACUUUUCUGCCAAUGCAAGCCUCUGGUCCCAUGAGAUCCCAUCUUGGGGCCUUUUGCGGCACCCUGCCAUAGGGGGAUUCGAUCAUGGAGGGCAUCUACAUCAACCUUGAUGCCCUUUCGAUGAAGCGUGAGUAGUUUACCACAGACCUAAGGGUCCAUAUGUUGUAGCUAGAUGGCUUCUUCUCCCUCUUUUAUCUUCAAUACAAUGUUCUCCUCGAUGUUCUUGGAGAUCUAUUCUAUGUAAUAUUCUUUUGUGGUGUGUUUGUCGAGAUCCGAUGAAUUGUGGAUUUAUGAUCACAUUAUCUAUGAAUAUUAUUUGAGUCUUCUCUGAACUCUUUUUUGCAUGAAUAAAUAUCUUUGUAUUUCCCUUUGAAUUAUCGGUUUGGUUUGACCAACUAGAUUGGUUUUUCUUGCAAUGGGAGAGGUGCUUAGUUUUGGGUUCAAUCUUGCGGUGUCCUCACCCAGUGACAUAGUAGGGGUAGCAAGGCACGUAUUGUAUUGUUGCCAUCAAGGGUAAAAAGAUGGGGGUUUCAUCAUAUUGCUUGAGUUUAUCUCUCUACAUCGUGUCAUCUUACUUAAGGCGUUACUCUAUUCUUAUGAACUUAAUAAUCUAGAUGCAGGCAGGAGUCGGUCGAUGUGUGGAGUAAUAGUACUAGAUGCAGAAUUGUUUCGGUCUAUUUGACAUGGAUGUGAUGCCUAUAUUCAUGAUCAUUUCCUUGGAUAUCAUCAUAACUAUGUGCUUUUCUAUCAAUUGCUGGACAGUAAUUUUUUUACCCACCGUAUAUUUUCUUUUAGGAGAGAAGCCUCUAGUGAAACCUAUGGCCCCUGGGUAUAGUUUCCAUCAUAUAUUUUCAGAUCUAUAAACCAAAAAACCCCAAAAAUACCUUGCUGCAAUUUAUUUAUAUUUACUUUAGUUUGCUCUUUUAUUUAUCUUUUAUACCUAUCUCUAUUAGAUCUCACUCUUGUUCGUGACCAUGAAGGGAUUGACAACCCCUUUUUGCGUUGUGUGCAAGUGUUUGUUAGUUUGUGCAGGUGCAUAGAUUGGAGACUUGCUUGUCCCUCCUAUUGGAUUGAUACCUUUGUUCUUAACUGAGGGAAAUACUUAUCUCUACUUUGCUGCAUCACCCUCCUCUUCAAGGUAAAAAUCAACGCAAGCUCAAGAAGUAGCACAUGAUAACCAUUAAACCACCUAAUUUUUUAGAUUGUUUUUACAUGUCUAGGGUUUCGAUAAUCCAAUGUAUAAAUUUCUAAUUCUUUGUAUCAUCUUUUCUUCAUAAUUUCAAGACAUUAGCCUGACUUACAGUGUUGGGUAAGAAGCAUUGUGAGGUGCUAAGAAAAAUCUGUAUGUUUAUUUAUCACGCACACACAUACAUAUAUAUGGUGUUAGGACUUAGGGUCCCUUGUUGUCGAGUUCGCCCAAGGGCCUUCCGAAACACAGGGACAGCCCUGCCUAAUGGGCCAGGCGCACUCCCCCUUAGGCCCAUGCGACUGGGGGGGCCUAGGGGUGGGGAGGCGUCCCACCUGGCUUGGGGGGCAAGCCUCCCCCCUUGGCUUCCGCCCCCUCCGUCACCCCUAUAUAUAGUCGGGAGGCACAGGGGGGAUGCCCCCUUCCACCUCGGCCCUCCCACUCUCCCAACUACUGCCAUCUCCCUUCGGUACGUGCUCGGAGAAGCCCUACUGGAAUUCCGCUGCUGCCACCACCAUCAUACCGUUGUGUUGGCUCCAACCUCAUCUACCUCCUCAUCCUCGCUUACUGGAUCAAGAAGAAAAGGACGCCAUCGAGUUGAACGUGUGCUAAUCUCGAAGGUUCCAUCCGUUUGUCACCAGACCAGAUUGGAUCACGAUUGGAUCAUGAAGAGUGUGACUAAAUCAACCGUGUUACGUACGCUAAUGCUUUCAGUCUACAAGGGUACGUCGACACAUUCCCCUCUCAUUGCUAUGCAUCUCCUAGAUAUCUUGGAUGUUCGUAGGAAUUAUUUUGAUUUCCAUGCUUCAUUCCCCAUCACCAACCGCUAGUAACGCUUGGUACUACAGUAGUAGCGCUUCCUAUGGUACUUCCGUUGUGGUCUACCACAGCUACUUCUGGUUGGGGAAAUGCUUCUGGAAUGCGUGACAAACUUCACGGUAGUAGAGCGGUAGCACCCCUCUAACAGAACUACCGCCCUUUUUCUGUCUCGUUGGGUUGCUUUGACCAAGCUAUGCAUAGAUUACCCCAAGUUUCUAUCGGAGAAUGUAAGACGAAAACAUGCAUCAAAUCCUAUGCAUAGAUUACCCCAAUGUCACCUCGGGAAUCCACGAGUUGAGUGCCAAAACAUACAUCAAGUGAAUCAAUAGAACAUCCCAUUGUCACCACAGAUAUCCCAUCGCAAGACAUACAUCAAGUGUUCUCAAAUCCAAUACUCAAUCCAACAUAACGAAACCUCAAAGAGCAAGACUCAAUUCAUCACAAGAAGGUAGAGGGUGAGAAACACCAUAUGAUUCAACUAUAGUAACAAAGAUCGCGGUACAUCAAGAUCAUGCCAAAUCAAGGACAUGAGAGAGAGAGAGAUCAAACACAUAUCUACUGGUACAUACCCUCAGCCCCGAGGGUGAACUAAUCCAUCCUCAUCAUGGAGACCACCGGGAUGAUGAAGAUGGCCUUCGGUGAUGGUUUCCCUCUCCAACAGGGUGCCAGAAUGGCCUCCCGAUUGGUUUUUCAUGGCUACAGAGGCUUGCGGUGGCGGAACGUCCGAUCUAGGGUUCUUUUCGGAGGUUUCUAUAUUUGUAAGAAUUGUUGGCGUCGAAAACAAGUCAGGGGGGUUCCCGAGGAGUCCACAUGCCAGGGGCGCCCCUACCCCCUAGGGUGCGCCUUGGGGACUCGUGGGAUCCUCGAGACUAUUUUGGUCCAGCUCCGGUGCUUCGGAGGUCUCUUUUGGUCCAUAAAAACCACCGUAAAUUUUCAGCCCAUUCCGAGAACUUUUAUUUCUGCAUAAAAAACUACACCAUGGUAGUUCUGUUAAAAAUAGCGUUAGUCCGGUUUAGUUCUAAUAAAAUCAUACCAAAACCACAUAAAAUUGUUGUAAACAUGGCAUGAAUACUUCAUAAAGUAUAGAUACGUUGGAUAUGUAUCAGGAGUCCAUCAGCAAAUGCCUCUGAAGAAGUCUGUGGAGCUGGAGGAGAUGACACUGGAGGAACAACUGUGGCAGUGGCUACCAGUGCUGAAGUGGUAGUCCUAGAGUCUCUGGCAACUGGCACGGCUAAUGAUCUUUGUGCCCUUGGCACUCUCUGGAAUGUAUCUGUUGUGGGUCUACAUCACGAUCCUCAGCAUCAUCCCAUAGCUGCUCCACAACUAUCUAAAACUUAGUGCCCUUCGCAUCUAGGUCAUGGAACUUAGUCUCAAUAAUCCUCUCAAGACUUUCCUGAUUUUGAGACAAGGUGGCCAAGCUCUUCUCAAUUCUCACGGUGUCCUCAAGCAGAUAACUGAGUUGGUCUUUCUUGGUCUUGUGAUUCGCAUCUUAAGCAUCUGGGGCACUUGCUACCUUUGCUGCUUUUGCAGCCUUUGCUUUCUCCAUCUUCUCCUGGGCUUCUGCACAAGUAGGAUGUGAAGCAUCCAUGACAACCUUGUUGUCCUCAAAGUCUGGCCUCGGGGGAAUAUGCUCUUUGUCUAGUAGAUAUGUCCCAGUUCCCAUCUUGGAGUUGAUCAAAGUCUGAAUGUGUGGGGCAUAUCCACAGGACCUCUUCUGGUCUGCAGUUGUUCUCUUCACUAUUUCAACGAUCAAGCUCAUGACCUUGAAUUUUUGAGGAACAUCAAACAAGUGAAGUAGAUUGAUGGAGUGACCACGAAUCAUCCUAUGAUCUCUAGACUUGGGAAAUAGAGUGUGCCUCAAUAUGGUGUUCAUGGUGGUCAAGCCAUCAAGCAGAUAGUAUAUAGAACCAAACUUGUGAGUGUCCAGAGCUGGAUCAGGGAUUGGCUUGUACAUGUUAGCCAUGGAGUUGUGAUCCUUCCUAGGCUUACUGUAUACAUCAAGAUCAUCCUCUUCUUCCUUGGGGGCAUUGAUCAACUUGGCCCAUUCAGAGAUUGUAGACUGAUAUCUGGCUCCUUCUGUCAUCCACACUAUCUUACCAUCAGGGUAGAAGUGAGCUGUUAACUAGAACUAUAUUAUCAUUUCAUCAUUCCACUUUGUCAAUUUCUGACCAACAAAUUUUUCGACACCAUUCAUCCUGAAGCUCUCAUGCACAUGAGGAAAGUAAUCUUCAUUAGAGUCAAUGUAUUUCCAAUCUACCCACUUCAUGUCACAUACUAUGGGUUUCUUGUCCAAUAGGACAGUGUCAUAGUAGUCCGACUAUUCUUUGAUGUGAAAGUGAUAGUCCACAACUAUCCUUCUCCUAGUGGCAUAAGGAUAAGUCUUCCUCCAUUGUCUUAGACCUGCAUCCUUUCUCAACUUCAUGUUCUCUGCCACAGGAUGAUCAUCAUUUUGAUCUAGGAUCUUGGUUUUGAGUUUCCUGAGCACUAGUGGCUCUUCAUCUUGAACUUCAAGCACUGGGGCCUUAUUCUUCUCUGCAGCUGAGAUGUUCCUUGCUGAUCUCUAUGGAGCAGUUGACUUGGGGGCUUGAGCUAGAGCUGAAGGCUUGGGUGUAGACUUAGGCUUAAAAGGAGCAGCCCCAGUCUUGAUGGCAUCCCCCAUCAGCUUCUAUGUCUGGCAGGAGGUGCAGCAGACACUUCCUCCUCCUCUUCUCCUUCCUCAUCCAUCAUUAUUGAUGGUCUAAUCACUUUGGCAAUGGUAUUCCUAACUCUUUCUUUCCUCUUCUUUCCACCAGCAGCAUCUUCUUCCUCUCUGGGCUCAAGUGUAAACUGCAUGGUUUCUUGAGUUGAGGCUCUGGCCUUAGACAUUGGAGUCCUCUUUGCAGGUUCCUUCUUGGAAAGGCAUGACUUUAUGGCAGCAAAAGUAGCAUACUCUUUCUUGAGCACUUUCUUAUUGGAGGUCACUUCCUCCUCCAUCACAAAAUCUUCAUCUUCAGAUCCAGAUGUCCUAUUCUUACUUUGCCUAGUAGCUUCCUUAGGCAAGUUGUUGGGAGUGCUCCUACUCCCUUCAUCAUAGCUACCUAAGGGACUGGUGCCCUCAUUGUGAUUGACCUACUCUUCAGACUUGUUCUGACUGUCACUGGCCUCUGACAUAGCUGCAGCUGACCCUGUGAAUAGUUGGGUGUGGAUAGAGUAGAUGAGCAUCACAAAGUAUAGCUUAUUUUGCAAAAAAAUGAGACAAAAACUUAACUUUAGUUUUCUGCAAAAAGCAUUUCGAAGCUACCGAUUUGACAAACUCGUUGACGCUGAAGCACUAAUAGAGUCUAAACAUGCAGUUUCGCUUAGACCAUAAUGUAGUUCAGUGACACCGAGAUGCUAGGGUUUCACAAAGAAAGUGAUUUCGGUCUCACCGAUUAGUACACUUCGGUCAGACCAAGUUGUACUUUGUGCAAUGGCCAGGGCCAAUCGGUGUGAGCGAAAUCCUCAGAUCUAUCGGUCCGAGAUGGGUUCAGCGGAAACCUAACCCUAAGUUUUUGCACCAAAUCUAUUCUAAGGAAUUUGUUUGCUGGAUAUAUUGAUCUCAUACGUGGGAAGAACAAAGGCAUUAUAUUUUGUGCAAGAAUCGGAGCAAUGGAAAGCACAAAGGGUCAAAUCCAUACCCUAACUUGGUGACGGAUUGCUACGGCCGCAACGGUGGUGAAGAUUCCCGUUGACGGUGGUGGAAACCAGCGGUAGAGGGUCACUGGUGAAGACGGUGAUGAUCUAGAGACCAAGGGGGCGGCAGUACUGGGGCGCGAGCUCGUGCGGUUUGAAGUGAUUUUCAACUGUACGGGUACGCGAGGUAUAUAUACCUAGGCGGUGUCGGUGGCGCCAAGUGGAACAUCUCGAUGGCAUCGAGAUGCAAAACUUAGAUCAACUUACUGAUCUCGGUGAGACCGAGUUGGAUAGGUCGGUCUGACCGAAAACCAUUAAGAGGUUUUGGAAGUUAAGCCCUUGACGGAUCGGUGACUCCGCGUGCUCCUCACCCGGAGGGUCCAAAAGUGACUUGUUCAAACUUUGUGAUGUAGCAUGAAUAGAGUAUGAGAAGAGAAAAAACAUAGAUAGCUAGAGGAAGUACUUAGGCAUUCUUGUCCAUCCAUUUGGCAAAAGAAAACCAAACAAUCAAAACAACAAAUGGAUGUCCUCGAACGGAGAAAAUUAUGCAACCAACAUGCUCACACAAUAGGAUAGAAAAUAAAACAUUUGGCAAAGCAUGCACAUACAGUCUAGCAUCUAUCUAGCAAUUGGUGAUGACUAGGUCAUCUGUGUAGGAGUAUAUUGACUGAGGAUUAAAAUGAGAACAUUUGAUUGUAGGUCAUACUCAUCGUUUAAGCACAAGUGGGGUUACCACUUGUACAUAAAGCAUUGUUGUGUUCACAACAUUAGAGUUUAUUUAGCUCAAUUCUUAGAGUAAAGCUCCCCCUAGAUGUGAUAUCCCCCCUAAGAGGGAUGAACUAACCUUGGGUUUUGUCGAUGAUGACUUCAUAUAGAUGUUGAAGAUGUGGAUGCUCAAUGUUGAUGUAGAUCAUUUGGAGCAAUCCAUUGGAGUGUUUUGCACUUUCAAUACCUACAUGGGUUAGUCCCACAAGGAACAUACAAGCAUAUCCAUAGAUAUAGAGCGAAACACACUUAUGAUGUUGUCCAUGAAAGCAUUAGGUUACCUUGUCCCUUGUCUUACCAAUAAGAGGGUUUGUGACUACAUGAACUAGUGCAAGAUGUGAAAGUUGAUUGCACUUGUCCUUGCCAAAAUGAAUGUGAGUGCAGUAUGUUGGCGGAGUCACCCUCAAGAAUACUCUAGUUCUUCUUUGGGAUCCACAUCAACUUGAUGGGAAUCCUUGGAGUUGUAGCCAUACUUGAUGAAGUAGAAUUGGGCAUAGUCUUGGGAACCCACUUGACCAUGGCCUUAGGAGCUUCUUCAAAUGAAUCAAACUCUUCUUGAAGCUUGUCCUUACCUUUUAGCUUGUGGUCUUGUGGUGAAAUAUCAUCUUGAGCUUGUGUUACCUUGAAAGAAGUGGGGUCAUACUUCUCUUGUUGAGCAACAAACUUUGUCUUGGGAUAUUGAUCUUCUUCCCACUCAACUCCAUUGGCAUUAAACUUUCAUUCAAAACCAACACCUUGAUUCUUCCGAUGCCUUCCUUGCUUGUGUACAAUUUCCUCAAAUUGCUUACUUCCGGCAAGGCUCUUCUAAACGCCUUUCUCUAUAAUUCCCUUCAAUGAGCUAUUUUCUUGCUCAAGUGUAACUUGGCUAAGAGAAUCAUUAGUGGAAUCAAGAAAACUACUAGAAGCAACAAUAUUAGAUUUAACAUGAUUAUUGUUACUACUAGAGGAAGAAUCUUUCUUGUUCUUAUUGCUAGAUUUUACUUGUGGCAUGUAAGUAUACAAGCGGAGACGUUUGGCAAGAUAAGAAGAGCUCUUCUUUCGAAGAUCAUCAUUGAUAGCUUUUAGGAACUCAUGCUCUUGCUCUAAAUUUAGCUUCUCGAAGUGUAGCUUCUCGUGAGUUCAUUUGACCUUUCUAUGAUCGUCUAGAGUUGUAUCAUGAGCUAACUUAAGAGUGUUUAGUUAUUUAGUUGGACACUCAAUCUCCUUAUCAUUGUCACUCGUUUCAUCUUGAUUAGCAUGAAUAUUAGCUAUUUCAUCAUAGUUUUCAUCACUAGUGUUGUCAACAAGUAAAUCAUCAUCACCUAGCAAAUCAUCUUCAUCACUAUUGAAAUCAACAUACUCUAGGUGAGAUACCUUAGGGCCUUUAGCCAUGAAGUAUCUUCCAAUUCCUUCAUUUAGUGAGUCAAAUAUGUUGUUGGAGUUGGAUGACACAAGUGCAAGUCUGGCAACACCUUCAUCUUGAGUAUAUUCGGAGUCGGAGUGAUAGCUUCUCUUGGAGUAAUUGUCGGAGUUGGAGUCAGAACCGGAUACCCAUUCACCAACGUGAGUUUGAUGUCUUCGUCUUGUGUAGCUCAUUGAUGACGUGUCUUUCCUUUCCGAAUCCUAGCUUCUACCAGAGGGUCUUCAUUCAUAACGAUCAUCUCUACUCCUUCUCUCUCUAGGUGGUGAUUCAUCUCUUUUACUCCUCCUUUUUCUUGAAUCUUCUCUUUUCUUAUAGGGAGCCAUACACUCAUUGGAGUAGUGUCCGGGCCUUCCACAAUUGUAGCAAUUACGAUCGCGACUAGAAGAUCUUUUGUCAUUGUAGGACCUUGACUUGGAGCUUCUCUCUUUGCUUCUAUUCUUGUAGAACUUGUUGAAGUUCUUCACCAUUAAGUUCAAUUCUUCAUUGAAGGCUUGUUUCUCACUUGAUGUUGUAGGAGCAUCACUUGAAGCUUUGUAAUCACCAGUAGACUUGUUGUGGAGAUCUUCCUUAUCCUUGAGUGACAUCUCAUGAGCAACGAUUCUACCAACAACUUUCGUGGGCUUGAGAUAUUUGUAAUUGGGCAUCAUUUGGAUCAAGGUACACACGGUAUCAUAUUUUCCAUCCAAAGACCUUAGGAUAUUCUUGAUGAUGAAUUUGUCGGUCAGCAAUUCCUUCACCAUCCUUCAUCUUGAACUUGUCAAGUUGACUUUGAAGCACAUCCUUCAUCAUGAACCAAAGUAUCCCAAAUUUCCUUUGCAUUCUCAGGGCGGCUAAUUUUGUUGAAUUCUUUGGGGCACAAUCCGUUGAAAAGAAUAUCGAAAUCUUGAGCAUUGUAUUGCAACAUCUUCAUUUCUUCGCUGUCAAUUCACGAUCCGGUUCUUUUCCAUCCUCGAAGAAAUCACCUUGCAAGCCAACACGCACAAUAGCCCAAACGGCGGGGUUAUGACAAAGAAUAUGUAUUUUCAUCUUAUGCUUCCAACUAUCAAAAUUAGUACCAUCAAAAUAAGGACCUCUACGUUGGUAAUUUCCCUCACUAGAUGCCAAACUCUCCUAGGUUGUGAAACCAAGGCUAUGAUCACCAAAGCUAUGGAAAUCAAGGAAAAUGGAGACCAAUGCUCUGAUAGCAGUUGCAGGAUCGAAAGUAGGUCUAGAGGGGGUGAUUACAUUACUUGACCAAAUAAAAUCUAACCUUCUACCAAUUUUAGUUGUGGGAAGAUUUUAGAAAAUAGCACAAGUCAAGCAAUCAACCUACACAUGCAAUUCUAAGAGCAUAGCAGCAGAAAGCAAAACGUUGCAUAUGAAUUAAAGGGAAGUGUAGGAGUUAUUGGCGACGGGUACCCAGAAGACGGCAAGACAAUAAUUCAAGAUAUCGGGGAUAGCAAAGCCCCUCAGUCUGGCUGCCCGGCCGCUCCUGCCGGCUCCACGGCCCACUACCUGGCCGGCUGCCGGCUGCCGACUGCGCCAACCAGCCGGUUGCCGGCUGCAGCUCGACCCAACACCGACAAGACCCCGAUGGGACGGCCGUACCGCAACGUCAUCUACAGUGUACCAUGUCCCCUGGGCAUUGACUUAUAAAAUGCCCUAGGGGACAAGCAUGACAUGCACCAUGCCACUAGCUAGCUAGCUACCAUGCCUACAUAGCUUGGUUUGUAAGCUACCCAAGGUAGCUUACAACCAACGCCACCACCACCCAUGCCAACUCCUAUAUAUAGGCACACAUCCAUCCAUCCAGGGAGAUGGACAAGGCACUCACGCCACACCCAUUCGACCAUACUCGACCACAAGAGAAUGCCAUGCACAUGCAUAUACGAGAUCAGAUGCACUUCUCACUAAUCUCAGAUACAGCUCCAGGAGCACUUUGUACUGCCCGAUGUACAUCCCAGAUAUAUACUCAGACAUGCAGGAGUAGGGGUAUUAUCUCUCCGGAGAGCCCCGGAUCUAGGUAAACUUGCGCGUGCUACUCGCAUACCCAUCCCUGAAUAUUCCGGCAGCAGUCUUGCCCUCACACUAAGCCACCCUGUGGCAUGUGUCGUCUUGCACCCCCCGUGAGAAUACCACGACAGUUGGCGCCCACCGUGGGACGGUACUAUGCUACAGCGCUGCUGCUGGUUUCGCACUCCGGGUGGGACCAUCUUCGUCAUCUCCGCCGUGACGUCGCCAUCAUCUCAUCCGGUAGUACUCGGGGGCCCGAUAUCAACACGCCCCUGGAGUGGCCGCGAGGGGCGGCGCGUCCUUGCCGUCGGCCUCGCCAUCUUCAUCAUCACUGCGACGUCGCCACCUCUCCGGCGCCGGUCAAGGGCUCGACAUCAGCACACCCUCGGCGCGUCCAUCCUGGGUGGUGCGACUUCGUCACCAUCAUUGCAACGCCGGCAGUCCGUCCGCACACAUGCCGCGCGCGGGCUCGCUUCGGUCGGCCGUGUCCAUCCACGCGUCGUUCGUGUCUGCUCCCCUCCAUGUUGCGCCUUGCCUUUGGCCGGAAGGCGCGUUCGCUCCUCCAUAUAUUAUCCACACUAGCUGUCUAGAUGCAAGUCAACUAUUGGCAAACCAUUAGCCAACCAUGGUCAGAUAUAACCCAUACACUAGCCAGACUCUAGUCAUACAUCUCCCAGAUGCAAGCCAUACAUGCAUGUAAGCAAUGCGUACACUACUCGCCUUGCAUCGCGGUUCUGCUGCUCCACUGCACCGCGCCGUCCGCUGCAAGAAUCCCAAGCGCGAACGCUGUUUAGUGCCUGCGUCCUCCUUCCCCUCCAUGUAUGCGCGCACCGGGUAUCCCGCCGCCUGGGUUCGCCUCUGCUCCAUUCCACGAGCAUGCAUGCGCACGCUGCUGUCCGGCUCGUAACCGCCCGCCGCAUUGGCCCUCUGCCCCGCUCGGCCCUAGCGUGCGCGCAGCCGCUUGCCGCGCUGGCCCUCCGCUCCGCUGUGCCAUCCCAGCGCGCCUCUCCCUUUGCAGCUCCUGGCCGGCUCGCCCAGCCGCCUACCAUCCAACUCGCCGCGCGCCUCCCGCAAGCCGGGCUCGGCCUCUCGAGCCGUCUCUGCUAGCGGGCCAGAUUGCCGUUCGCCGGCUCCUGCGUCAGCCUGCCGGCCGCGUGCUGCCUCCCCGCGCCGGGUGCUCCUGGCCAGGACACGCUGACGCUCCCGAGCUGACCGGCUCUCGGCUCGCCCCCAUGGCCUCCGUGCGACCCAGCCGGCCUCCUCCAUGACGCUGCACCCCUCACCGCCGCGACCGGGUCCGUGCCGGCUCGGCCGAACGUCCCCGCCUGGACCGCCUCCACGUCGGGUUCCAUCCGCCCGCGGCCGGCGCUGGCCGCUCCCCUCGCUCACUCCCGCACCUCGUCGGUCCGCCUCCGCGUGCCACCCCAGGCCGGCUCCCGCGCCUGCCUGCUGGCUCCGUGCCGGCUCCCAGCUCGGCCUGCCGGCUGCGCCACCCGGCCGCCUGCCCGCAUCCCGGACGCCGACUCCCGCGCUCCGCUCCACUCCGCCUUGCCCCGCUAGCUGUUAGACUGUAUUUACACGUUGUAUACCACCUCAUUAUAUAUAUAUGUGAUAUCCCAUCCCUAGAGGGUUGUGCCGGUUCCCCCCAAAGCCUAUUGUCUUACAUGGUAUCAGAGCCCCUCACGCUGGCCUCCAUUGGACAGCCCCUCACCGACUCCGAGUUCAACUCGUUUAUUGUCAAUGGUCUUGAUGAGGAGUAUGACGCCCUAGUCGAGAUCAUCAAUGAGAGGGGCAACUCCACGCCCAUGCCAGCACACGAGGUCUUUUCACGCCUCCUGCUUACUGAGCAACGAGUCGAGACGCGCCGAUCCAGGGGCAACGGCGCCCUCUCGGCAAACGCCGCCACCAAGGGUGGUCGCUCCUCUGCUUCAUCCAGGGCUCCUUCGGGGCAGUCACCACCACCCGCCUCGGCCCCUCCUCCUACUGCAAUGCUACCAGGGGCUGGCGGUCCACGUGUGUGCCAGCUUUGUGGUCGCGAUGGGCACUGGGCUUCGAAGUGUCACAAGCGCUUCCAGCGGGGUUUUCUUGGUCUUGGCAAUGACGGGAAGUAUACACGCAACUUCGCUCGUCAGGUCGCCAUGGCUGAUCGUCCGCCGCCGCAGAAGCCACAGGGACACACUCAGUCCUACUCCAUUGAUCCCCACUGGUACAUGGACUCUGGGGCGACAGAGCACCUGACCAGUGAGAUGGGGAAGCUUCACACUCAUGAACCCUACCAUGGCUCCGACAAGAUCCACACCGCCAAUGGAGCAGGUAUGCACAUCUCUCAUAUUGGUCAAGCAUCACUUCUCACUAGACAUGCCAAUAGGAGUCUUCAACUUCGCAAUGUUCUUCGAGUUCCAUCUGUGACACGUAAUCUUCUUUCAGUUCCUAAACUCACUCGUGAUAAUAAUGUGCUUUGUGAAUUUCAUCCUUUUGAUCUUUUUAUUAAGGAUCGGGGCACGAGGGACAUUCUUCUUAGUGGGCGGCUCUGCCAAGGUCUCUAUCGUCUGGAGCAUCCUGGCGUCGCUCGCGUCUUCAGUGGAGUUCGGGUAUCUCCGUCACAGUGGCAUGCUCGUCUUGGUCACCCGGCCACACCUAUUGUCCGGCAUGUUUUGCGUCGUCAUGAGCUUCCUAGUGUGUCUAGUAAUAAAGAUGUAGCAGUGUGUGAUGCUUGUCAGCAGGGGAAGAGUCAUCAACUUCCUUUUUCGGAGUCCAGUCGUGAGGUGAAACAUCCUUUAGAACUUGUGUUUUCAGAUGUAUGGGGUCCUGCUCAGACUUCUGUUAGUGGUCAUAAUUAUUAUAUCAGUUUUGUUGAUGCUUACAGCCGCUUCACCUGGCUUUAUCUUAUCAAACGUAAAUCUGAUGUGUUUGACAUUUUUGUUCAGUUCCAAAAACAUGUUGAACGUCUUCUCAAGCACAAAAUUGUUCAUGUUCAGUCGGACUGGGGUGGCGAGUAUCGCAACCUCAACUCCUUCUUUCAGUCGCUUGGGAUCACUCACCGUUUAGCAUGUCCACAUACACAUCAACAGAAUGGUUCAGUAGAACGUAAGCAUCGUCACAUUGUUGAAGCUGGUCUGACUCUUUUGGCCCAUGCAUCUGUUCCGUUUCGUUUUUGGAGUGAUGCUUUCACCACUGCAUGUUUUCUCAUCAAUCGUACUCCUACUCGUGUUUUGAAUAUGAAGACUCCCAUUGAAGUUCUCCUUAAUGAACAACCGGACUACACCUUUCUCAAGGUGUUUGGGUGUGCUUGCUGGCCCCAUCUUCGUCCAUAUAACAAGCGUAAGCUCGAGUUUCGUUCCAAGAAGUGUGUUUUUCUUGGUUAUAGCUCUCUUCAUAAAGGGUACAAAUGUCUUCAUGUUCCCACUAAUCGUGUCUACAUCUCUCGGGUUGUUGUGUUUGAUGAGCAUUUUUUUCCUUUGCCAAACUCCCUGUGUCCACUACCGAGCCACCGGUCAUGCAUUCAUCCUCUGUUGCUUCUGACCAAUUUGAUGAUGUUGCAUAUUCUCCUCUAUUGUUGCCUAACCAUGGUGCAGGCACUGGUCGUGGGGCUCGUUUGGAGAUUCUAGAAGCGCCAUCUUCCUCUUCGUCGCCAUCGCCUUCAUCCUCGGCACCUUCUGUUGUGCAUGAGGAGCACAUGGCGCCCCUGCAUGGCCUCGGUUUCCGUGCUCAUGCACGGCCGAUCGACGUCCUGGGCCGAUCGCCUCUGGCUUCUGGGCUGCCUUCGCCAUCGUCGCGCCCUGCAACCCCGCCGACUGGGCCGGCCUCCUCGGUCCCCGUCUCACCCAGGGCGUCGGGGCAGUCAUCACCAGGCCUGGCCUCGCCCGCCCCUACCUCGCCCAGGGUGUAUGGGCCCUUCUCACCAGGGCCGGCCUCGCCUGCUCUCGCCUCGCCAAGGCCGUCUGGGCUGGUGUCACCGGAGCUGGCCUCGCCCACCCUCGGUUCGCCCAUGGCCUCUGAGCCCCUGUCAUCGGACCAGUCUUCGCCAUGCAGCCCGGAGUCGUCUGUCCCGAGCUCGCCUGAGGUGAUUCCUGCAUCUCCGGCGACCGUCACGUCUCCGUCACCUUCGCCUCCGCCGGCUCCUGCUGCUGCUCUACGUCCACAUACGCGCAGUCGGAGUGGCAUUUUUCAGCCUAAGCAACGUCACGAUGGCACAGUUGCUUGGUUAGCGGCGUGCAUGUCUGCUGCUCUCGCAGAUCCAUCCUCUGAGCCACGCACGUAUCAAGCUGCUAUGCGCAUUCCUCAUUGGAGAGAGGCCAUGGAGCAGGAGUAUCAAGCGCUUCUUCGCAAUCAGACAUGGACUCUUGUUCCUCCACAAUCACGGGUAAAUGUCAUUGAUUCCAAAUGGGUUUUCAAAGUGAAGAGGCAUUCUGAUGGGUCCAUUGAGCGCUAUAAGGCUCGUCUGGUUGCUCGUGGUUUUCGACAGCGUUUUGGACUUGACUAUGAAGACACCUUCAGUCCAGUGGUCAAGCCUACUACCAUCAGACUUCUUCUCUCUCUGGAUGUUACUCGAGGUUGGUUUCUUCGUCAGCUUGAUGUUCAAAAUGCUUUUCUUCAUGGUGUCUUGGCGGAGGAGGUUUACAUGCCCCAGCCUCCGGGUUUCUCUGAUCCGGAUCGCCCUGAUCAUCUCUGUCGUUUGUCCAAGGCAAUUUAUGGUCUGAAGCAGGCUCCUCGUGCUUGGCAUGCUCGUCUUGCAAUGGCUCUUCGUGCUCAUGGUUUUGCAUCAUCAACUGCUGACUCCUCAUUGUUUCUUCUUCAAAGGCCUAAGGUUACUAUGUACUUGUUGGUCUAUGUAGAUGAUAUCAUUUUGGUCAGCUCCUCUCAGUCGGCUGCUACUGCGCUUGUUCGCUCACUUGGUGCUGAUUUUGCGGUCAAGGACCUUGGGAAGCUUCAUUACUUUCUUGGUGUGGAGGUUACUUCUCGUGCUGCUGGCCUUGUUAUGACGCAGAAGAAGUACUCUCUGGAUUUGUUGCAGCGAGCUGGGAUGCUUAAGUGCAAACCGACGACUACACCCAUGUCUAUCACUGAUAAGCUCAAUGCUGUUGAUGGUGUGCUUCUUUCUUCUUCUGAUGCGACCGAGUACCGGAGUAUUGUUGGUGGGCUCCAGUACUUGACGAUCACGCGACCAGACAUUUCCUAUGCUGUUAACUGAGUCUGCCAGUAUCUGCAGUCACCCCGUGACACUCAUUGGUCUGCUGUUAAGCGGAUUUUGCGCUAUAUUCGUUUCACGGUGGCUCAUGGUUUGCAUAUUCAGCCGUCUGACUCUGGUUGUCUUUCAGCAUAUUCUGAUGCAGACUGGGCUGGCAAUCCGGAUGACACGCGAUCCAGGGGGGUUAUGCUGUCUUCUUUGGCUCUAACCUGAUUGUUUGGAGUGCUCGGAAACAGGCUACUGUCUCGCGUAGCAGUACUGAGGCUGAGUAUAAGGCUGUGGCCAAUGCCACAUCAGAGAUUAUCUAGGUACAGUCCUUGCUUCAGGAGUUAAGUAUACCCCAAUCACAGCCUCCUGUUCUUUGGUGUGAUAACAUCGGUGCUACAUACCUUUCUGCAAAUCCGGUAUUCCAUGCCCGAACGAAACACAUUGAAGUUGACUAUCACUUUGUGCGUGAACGUGUCUCUCAGAAGCAACUACAGAUCAAGUUUAUUUCUUCCAAGGAUCAACUUGCUGACAUCUUCACCAAGUCAUUGCCUUUGCCAUAGUUUGAGACUUGCAGGCACAAUCUUACCCUUCUAGAUUCAUUAGAAAGUGGUUAAGAUUGAGGGAGGGUGUUAGACUGUAUUUACACAUUGUAUACCACCUCAUUAUAUAUAUAUGUGAUAGGCCACCCCUAGAGGGUUGUGCCGGUUCCCCCCAAAGCCUAUUGUCUUACACUAGCCAGCGUCCGCCCCGUCGGUCCUCCCCGCGGACAGGUGCUCCACGCCCGCCCGCCGGCGGCCGGAUGCGCCGCCUCCCGUUGCCCGGCUUGCUACCCCAGCCCGCACUCGCUGGCCGCCUCCCGCUCCAACCGAUCGAUCCAGCCGGCUGCUCGAGAGAAGAAAAGAAAAAGAAGAGUCUGGCUGCUAGAAAAGUCAAGAGUCCGGCUGGAGGGUUGGCCAAAAAAAGAAAAAAAGAGAGAGAAGUCGGCUGGGACAGAGAGAAGAAAGAAAAACACAUCCGGAUGACCCGUCCGCCUGCUUCGCCACUUGGACGGUCAGUUGUGACCCGCACUGCCGGCUGUGCCAAGCUGGUUGUACUGCCUCCUGCUCCGACGACGCAUCGAGCGGGUGCGCUGACGAGCCCCCACGAGGAAGAAGACAAAGUAGUUGCCGAGAGAUCCGGCCCAACUGCUCAGUAGUCGGCCCGAAUCUCGGGGGCUACACCCAGCGGGUGUGCUGACGCGCUCCCGCGAAAAAGAAGAAGACAAAGUAGUUGUCGGGAGAUCCGGCCCGACUACACAACAGUCAGCCCGAAUCUCGGGGGCUACACCCAGCGGGUGCGCUCAUGCGCCCCCGCGAAGAAGAAGACAAAGUAGUUGCCAGAAGAUCCGGCCCGACUGCUCAGCAGUCGGCCCGAAUCUCGGGGGCUAUACCCGGUGGGUGCGCUGGCGCGCCCCCACGGAAGAUUGCAAACAAGAGAAGAGUUUUGUCCGACUGCUAGCAGCCGGCAGAAGAGAAAAAGAAGAAAAAGGGCGCUGCAAGACGCCUCGCCGCCUGGCGGGUCGAGGCUGACCGGCCAGGACCCCUCUUCGAGCACCCGGGGGCUCGAAGGCCACAUCCAGCGGGUGCGCCGGCGCACUCUGCGAGCGCCGAGCCGUCCUGGCUGUCUUCGGCAAACUCCGCCUCGGCUACACAAAAACUAAUGUGAGCUCCUCACCCGCAUGUUUUUUGCACCACGCAAGUACGGAUAACCCCGAGCGAUGCUCGGGGGGCUAUCUCCGCAUUUCAUUACAGUUGCAUCACUGUUCGCCCCGGCGCCAGCCAGAGUUGGCCCGGGGAUUGGCCGCUUGGCCUGAGAUAUUAGUUCUCGCAGACUGCUUAGUAGCGUGCGCGGUACCAAAGGCCCACUCUUAGUCACAGACCUCGGAGUGGCUGUUCGGCUAGCAAGAGUGAACGCUGGAGGCCACCCACGCGAAAAACGUCCGGGAAGAAAAACGGUUCGGGCGACCCGGUCAUUUUCUUUACAAGUAUCUACUCGAUUGAAUCUGCUCCCAGACUCUGAGUACUGUACACUCCACUUCGCGGCUGUCCGGCAAGCAAGAGCACAAGCCAAAAAGUGGAGGGAACACGAAAAAGAUUAAGGGGGCUCGGAGGAAACCGAGUUGGCACCCUCCGCAUAAAACUUGCAAUGCUAAAGCAAAGAUUUGAUAUAUUUGCAUGGACUAACUUUGUCUUUUUGCAUGAUCAUUUCUGUGGGGAACCCCCCCCCCCUCGCUCGGAGGCUCGGAGACUACAUUAACACCUGCCAAGGAACUUCCGUCCAACUUUGCCAAGUUGCCCGAAGGCUCGUGGGCUACUGUCAGAGUUAUUGGCGACAGGUACCCCGAAGAUGGCAAGACAAUAAUUCAAGACAUCGGGGAUAGAAAAGCCCCUCAGUCCAGUUGCCCGGCCGCUCCAGCCGGCUCCAUCACCCACUACCUGGCCGCUUGCCAGCUGCGCCAACCAGCCGGCUGCCGACUGUAGCUCGACCCGACACCAACAAGACCCCGACGGGACGGCCAUACCGCAACGUCAUCUAAAGUGUACCAUGUCCCUUGGGCAUUGACUUAUAAAAUGCCCUAGGGGACAAGCAUGACAUGCACCAUGCCACUAGCUAGCUACCAUGCCUACAUAGCUUGGUUUGUAAGCUACCCAAGGUAGCUUGCAACCAACGCCACCACCACCCAUGCCAACUCCUAUAUAUAGGCACACAUCCAUCCAUCCAGGGAGAUGGACAAGGCACUCACGCCACACCCAUUCGGCCACACUCGGCCACAAGAGCAUGCCAUGCACAUGCAUAUAUGAGAUCAUAUGCACUUGGCACUGAUCUCAUAUACAGCUCCAGGAGCACUUUGUACUGCCCAAUGUACACCCCAGAUAUAUACUCAGAUAUGUAGGAGUAGGGGUAUUAUCUCUCCGGAGAGCCGUGAACCUGGGUAAACUAGCGUGUGCUACUCGCAUACCCGUCCCUGGAUAUUCCGGCAGUAGUCUUGCCGUCACACUAAGCCACCCUGUGGCAUCUGUCGUCUUGCACCCCCCGUGAGAAUACCAUGACAGGAAGGGUUUGGAGAGUGCAAAUGCAAUGAUGACACGGAGAUUUUUGGCAUGGUUCUGAUAGAUGGUUCUAUCAUACAUCCACGUUGAUGGAGACUUCAACCCAUGAAGGGUAACAGUUGCGCGAGUCCACGGAGGGCUCCACCCAUGAAGGGUCCACGAAGAAGCAACCUUGUCUAUCCCACAAUGGUAAUCACCCAUGAAGGACUUGCCUCACUCGGGUACAUAUUCACGAAGUAGGGGAUCUCCUUGCCCUUACAAACUUCUUGGUUCAACUCCACAAUCUUGUCAGAGGUUCCCAAGUGACACCUAACCAAUCUAGCAGACACCCCUCUCCAAAAGGUAAUAGAUGUUGCGUUGAUGAUGAACUCCUUGCUCUUGUGCUUCAAAUGAUAGUCUCCCCAACAUUCAACUCUCUCUCUCUCUCUCUCACACACAGAUUUGGAUAUGGUGGAAAGAUGAUUUGCAUGGAAAGCAACUUGGGGAAGGCUAGAAAUCAAGAUUCUUGUGGUUGGAUUGGAAUAUCUUGAUCUCAACACAUGAGUAGCUGGUUCUCUCUAAAAAUGUAGGCUGGAAGUGUAGGCACGUUCUGAUGGCUCUCUCACAUAUGGAGAAGGGGGUGGAGGGGUAUAUAUAUCCUCCAUACAAAAUCCAACCUUUACACACAUUUGACCCAACUCGGUCGGACCUAAUAGAUGAACUCAGUGAGACCGAUUAAGUUAAAAAUGUGAACAUUAGGAAUCUCGGUGGGACCGACUGGAACAACUCAGUGGGACCGAUGUGCUAGGGUUAGGGAAAACCUCAUCUCGGUGAAGCCGAUUGCUUGAACUCGGUGAAACUGAUUUUAGCAAAGAGCAAACAGAGAGUUGGUCAAGGAAACUCGAUGGGACCAAUCACUCAUUUCGGUGAGACCGAAAUGUUACGGAAGGGAAAUAGAGAGUUUGCAAGGCCAUCUCGGUGAGACCGAGAUCUGUAUUGGUGUGACCGAGGUGUUAGGGUUUCUAGCAGUGGCUAGGUCAAAUGAACUCAGUGGCGCCGUUUAGAAUAUUUCGGGGGGGGGGACAAUUUGACAUUGGGUUUUGGACAUAUUUGGAAAUGAGAAAGUGGUUAAGGGCUUUGGAGAAAUAUCUCUAAGCAUUUUCAGAAAGUAGACUAUAAAGCAACACCUCAUCCCAUUUUGAUAUUAUUGUCUUUCCUAUGGACUCAAUGUCAUCUUGGAUCACUAAAAUAUAAAUGAAGAGUCUUGAGCUUUUGCCAAUAUGUGUCAUUAGCAUUUUGAGGGAUCCACAUCUCUAGUCCAUGCCAUGCCAUUCAUUGAACUUUCCUAAAUAUUAAACUUGAAUGAAUAUUAGUUCAAUGAGCUAUAUAUUGUUAUGAAUUACCAAAAGCACCCGUGGAUUAGUUGCACUUUCAGAUAGCCAUAGUGUUUCUUGUUAUAUAUCUUGUUGUCACUUAGUUGUGUAUCUUGCUUAGCAAAGUUGUUGGUGCACAUAGGUGAGCCUAGUUGAUUUAGGUUUUGUGCUUGACAUAUUAAGCGCUAGUUUUAUUCCAUAUUUGUUCAAGCUUAACCCGUAACUAUUUUAAAGCGCCUAUUCAACCACCCCCUCUAGGCGACAUCCAUGAUUUUUCAGUUGGUAUUAGAGCCACAUCUCUCUUUAUUAGGCUUAACCACCUAGAGAGUCAAGAUGUAGACUAGGGGAUUAGGAUUCGUUGACACUCUUAAUUUCGAUGUCACAAACUUUGAUGUUUUGGUAAUUUGCAUGCUUAAUCUCUUUAGGGUCAUGGGCCCAAAUUUAGAGCGAACUGUGGAUGGGUUUUUCUCCUCCAAAGGAUCCUCAAAACCUAUAUUUAGAGGAUGAGAAAAACUCUUAUCUCAAUGCUCAAGCUUCUAUAGUGCUUUUUGAUGCUUUGAGCAAUGUACUUAUAUUUCAACUCAUGCCAUUUCGGGAUACUCAUGAGUUGUGGACAAAGCUUCACAAUAAAUAUGGUGUGUCCAAAAUUUGUGGGAAUGAUUGUACUCCCUCCAUCUCUGGUCAUGUAGUUUUCUCAACUUCUUCUACUUCACCUAAAUGUGGAUUGCCACAAAGUAAUGAUAUUGUGCGUAGUGUUGGUCGUUGCAAUGAUGAUGGUGGGAUUAUUGUUGAUGAUCCUUCAUCACUAUCUUAUUGCAAUGAUCCUUCUUUGGACCUUAACACUUUGACCACUCUAGUUGUUUCACAAUCUUGUGUUGAUAGUCCUUGCAUAUCAUGUAGAAAUUGUUUGACUAAAUCUCAUGAUGAUAUGCUUGCUAUAUCUUGUUGCCAUGAUAAAAAUGCCUCUAUUUUCUCGAGUUGUUGUGCUAACAAUGUGGAGGAAAACCAACGGUGUAUGGAACAAGGCUUGGUCUCGGAUGGUGCAUCAAGGGAUCCUACAUCAUCAUCUCUUGUUUCUCACUUUUUCCUUAUGGAUAAGGCUUCAAAGGUAUAUCCUACUUUGAAUCCCAAUAUAUAUCUUGAUGAUGAUGUUGAUGAUAAUGAUGAAGAAAAUGAUAAGGUUGCUUCCUUAAAAAUUAAGGGGGAAAUGAUUUUUAAAGCUCUUCAUAAGAACAAAAUUGCUUGUUCCAACUUCAUGGAAAUCAUGUAUAUUGCCAUUGAGGGUAAUAAAUACAUUGAGGAGUUGGAAGCUCAUCUUGAGUAGCAUGAGGUCACCACUGAGAAAAUGGAAGGUCAUGAGCGUGAUUACACUAAUGAGAUUGUGGAUCUUUCUCAAGCUCUUGAGGAAGAACAAGCCACCAAGGAAUCUCUUGAGGAGACCUUUUGCUCUAGAAUUAACUAAAAUAAAGGAAUCCCAUGAUAGAGCCCUUGAGGUGGCCAAUGAUUUCAAAACUAAAAAUGAUAAGCUUGAAGUUGCUCAUGUUAAAAUCCUUGAGGACUUUGAGCACCUCAAAAAUGGUUCAAGGGUCAUUAAGAGUGAGAUCCUCGGACUAACCGAGUCUCAUCCACAACUGAAAGUUUCAUAUUUAAAAGAGCUUGCUAGGUUGCCUUCUCCUCUUGUUGUUAAUGAUGAUGCUUGUGCUAAAGGCUCAACUUGAGUUGCUAUCUAGCCAUUAUGGGAAAUUGGAAGAAAGCCAUGUAAAGCUCACAGCUCUCAUGAUAAUCUUCUAGUAUCCCAUAAUGUGCUAAAGAUAGCUCAUGAGGAUAUGAUUACUAAGGUAACAGAUCCUCAUGUGGAUACUAGCACUACUUGAAGUCAAAAUGCCAUAUUGCCAUGUGCUAGUCCUUGUAAUCCAUCUACUCACAAUGUUGCUACAUCUUGUGAUGAAUUGCUUUCCUUGCCUUGUUGCUCUAACGAUGAAGCUUAUACUUCCUCUAGUACUUUUGUUGACAUUAACCAUGUAGAGGAAAUCAAAGAGCUCAAUGCCCAAGUCACUUCUUUGAACACUGGUAUGGCGAGCUCCUAUACAAACGGGUUUUAACCCCUUUCCGUGAUGACAUUUUGAAUUGUCGCCUAGUGAGUGUGGGUGAUAGGCGGGUCCCUCCCACACGACCCAGAAACCGUAGGGAAUAGGCCCUCUGGUCACACAUGCUGGGCAAAAUGAGAUCAUGUCCGAUGGGCGAGCGAUCAAAUACAAUUAUACAUGCCCAAUCGGUUUCGGACGUAAGUACAUCCCACACAGUUAGUCCUAGACAAACAUUUCCGUUCAUAUGUACAUUCCACACAGUCAAUCCAAGGAAUACGUUUCUGUUCGUAUGUACAUACCACACAGUCAAUCCAAGAAAUAUGUUUCCGUUCGUAUGUACAUCCCACAUAGUCAAUCCAGGGAAAACCUUUUCGUUCCCACGUACAUCACACAAUUUUCCCCAUUAGAUCUUUUGUGAUAGUGUUGCCAUUGUAGAUGGUAUUAACCAUUUUAUCGUUUGCAUUAUUGAAUGCAUCACACACGGUGCAUAGAAGCAACUAUGUGGCAUAGGCUAUCCAUCACACACACUUUUUAUGUGGUAAACAUUUGCGCAAGGUGGCCUAACACAAACAAUUUUCAAGAGGAAGUCGUGUGUGAUUAUUCAUUGAUCCGACACGUUUUCUUCCUAGAAACUAUGUGCAUUGUCUGAGGUCAUCGCCCACGGUGUUUUCGCAAUACCUGUUUGCAACCAAUUAGCAGGCUAAUUGGCCUAUUGUUAGUAAUCCAUUUAUUAAUAAAAUUGACAUUUCAUAUUAAGCACACAAUAUAUUUCAUGUUCGUAUUAAGGAAGCAAGAUUUCAUAAUUGAAAUACAGCAGAGUACAACAUCAGAUAACUUCAGCACUCAGUUACACCAUAUAGGCAUAUAGUUAGCUACCCCAUUACACAACUGCACGAGCACCAAGUUUCACAUGCAACAUCUAUAACCUUUCGAAAUUAGCAUCAUAGACGGUACAUAGACAGAUGAAUCUCAUCUAGAAAACUGCUGAAGCGGAAGGCGAAUAUUGAGCCUUCAUUGAUAUUGAAGGUCUUUGCAACUUUAGGUCGGUGCCUCUGGAUGAUUGACCGUCCAUCCUUCAUCCUCUUCAGGAAGACUUCAAUACUAAACCGUGGGUGUUGUAUGAAUACAUUCAUCACCUCCUGACCACACAGAUGGUUUGAGAGAUCAUCAUCAGUGAAUUGCUUUGGAAAGGCCUGAAAAUAAGGAUAUGCAUAAAUAUUUUCUCUAGAUCUGAAAUGGCGCAAAGGAAUAAAAAAGACGAGGUAUAAUAGUUAGUACCAUCAUGUCGUGAACUGAUGUCUUCUUCAUUGUGCAGACAAAGAUCUUGUUGUUUUUGUCGCUAAUUUCUUUAUCGUAACAAUCUUUGUGAGUUUCUUGACUUGACUGAUAUUCAUGGACAACUCAUUUCCCCAUAUACAAAAAGGGUCGAAUAGUGGGUCAAAACAUUUGACAGCAGGACCUACAUGUGCAAGACCAAAUUGUUAAAAACCUAAUAUUAGAAUGGUUCUUGCAAUUGCACAGUAAUGUGCUAUUAGACAAAGGACCAUGCAUGUGCAAACCUCGAUUGUAAACCUCGGUGCUUCCCAUUGUUUCCCUACAACACAUAUAAGGUAGUUAGUGAUCAGGUUAAGUGAUGGUUGGCAUGCUAUCAGUAAAAUAUGUUGAUGAAAGAUAAACACAUUGCAGAUUCAUCGGAUUAAUUAUAGCCACAUGGAAAAGCCAUUUAUCCAAACCAAGCAUGAUUAAGAACUAGGAAAUAUAGCAAUUUUAUAUGUUUCUCAUGUAUUAAGUGUAGCCAAAUUCGAUUUAUUCCUCGCAUGCAUAACAAUUCAAAUUUGUACCCACAAUAAUUGGACAUCACAUUGCAGAAUUGAACCAAGCAGUUAACUAAACACCAUGACAAAUGAACCAAACAUUAACUAAGCACCACUUGCACAAUAAAACAUACUCCUAAUAGAAGAUCAGAUAGUUAACCAAACCAAGCAUGCUUAACAACUUGGAAAUAUAACGAUUGUAUUUGUUUCUCAUGUAUUUAGUACAACCAAAUUCAAUUUAUUUCUCACAUGGUAGAAAAUAGCAAAAUGCAUCCACAACAAUUGAACAUCGCAUUGCAGAAUUGAACCAAACAAUUAACUAAACACCACAACAAAUGAACCAAUCAUUAACUGAGCACCACAUUGCACAAUAUAUAACAUACUAGAAGAUCAGAUAGUUAACCAAACCAAGCAUGCUUGACAACCUGGAAAUAUAGCAAUUGUAUUUGUUUCUCAUGUAUUUUGUAGGACAAAUCCGAUUUAUUUCUCACAUGGAAGACAAUACAAAAUUGCACCCAGAAGAAUUGAACAUCACAUUGCAGAAUUGAACCAAACAGUUAAUAGAACACGACAACAAAUUAACCAACCAGUUAAUAAGUGAGCACCACAUUGCACGAUAUAUAGAACAUAUACACUAGAGGAAUAGAUUCCAUGGUAAACGUAGAUAGGAAAAUUCACUAGAAUUUGUUAAGGAAAGGUAGGAGCAGCACAUGCAACAGGUAAACCCAGCAUGCUUAACUGGCGUAGCUAGCUAACUGAACAUAGGUCCUUACAGUGAGCUAAUUAGACAAGAAACUCCUCAUCGUUGGAGAUAUCGAUGAUGAUUGGCUCCUUGGACAUGGAAGAGGGCGAGGCCUCCACAUCGUGGGUGCCCUCCUCGUAGUGGUGAGUUGCCUAAGCCACUCCGGGCACCAACCCGCUGGCUCUCGAGUUGAGGUAAGCACGGGUACGCUGAGAAAGAACCUCGUAGUCUUCGUCGAAGGCACCGACGGUGGCCUCGAGAAAACGCCACGCACUGUCGUUUAAAGUAGCCAACCGCGUUGCGGCAUCAGCGCACGAGGCGUCGAUGGUGAGGUGCUCCUCCAAGAUCUGGGGGUCGGCAUGAAUGGCAGCCAUCGCGAUCUCAUCCGCGCGUGCGGCCCCGAUAUGCUUCUCCGCUGUUAAAUGCUCCUUGAGCUCCUGGCUAUAAUGCAUGAACCAUGGCUUAGGGUGGCGCUUAUUUGGGGUAGGGGUCGGUGAUUUGGGUGGAAGGUGUCACACAGUGGUCGGGGCCUGUGGAAUGUAGAAGGAGGAGGAGGAUGGGGGUCGGUUGUGGAUUACCUGCCUAGAUCGAAUGAGGCCGAGCAGCGUGAAGCAGGGUCUCCGGCGAGGAGGUGGCGCUGCAAGCAAGGAGUGAAGAUUUUGACUUGGAAAGGAAGGCAGAAACAGGGGAAAUGUGGCUUUUGGUAAGGGGGAGGGGUGGGGAAGUAGAUAUUUCUGCGGAAGCCAAUUUUUUUGGCUCUGUGGAGCGAAAAAACUAGAGCGCAAAGUGUCAUCGGUCCCUUAUUCAACACUGUGUACGAUAUGUGAACAUCACAAACGAUUCAUAUAGCUUACCCCGUGUGUGAUGAGUUUGAACGUGCAAAUUUAGGUCUGAAUUUCCUUGGUUACAGUGGUCAUCCAUGUCAUUGCAUAAUUUUGGUACGUAAAGGAGCCUAUGGCGCACCCACACUUCUUAAUCGAGCAGGUUUAGCAUUUAAACAGAGCUAGCCGACCUAAACAUUACUCUAACAAAUUAAAGAUCGGCGCUCUUAAUUAAACAAGGAGUACUACUCCGGCUGGUGCAGACUAAGGCAUAGCCUAGUGGUGUGAAGGGGCUGAUGCCUUCCCACCCACCCAGGUUCAAGGCAUGGUACUUGCAAUUUGGGUUUGUUGCACCAAUUAUACUGUAGGGGGUUCCCUUACAGUCUUUCUGUCAAAAAAACUACUCCGGCUGGCGCUCGUCGAUCUCCACCACCUCCUCCAUGUCCAGCUCACGCCUCACGAUCCUCUGGGGAAGGCGCUGCAUGCCAUCCAUCGCACCAUACUCGGCAAGCAUCUCACCAUCCGCAUCUACCAUCUCUUUGGAAAAGGCCUCCAUGAGCUGGGUGUGGGAAGCCGUGAUCUGGGCUUGGACGGGCACCUUCGUGACAAGGUGUGCCGCAAAGGAAUGGACGGCUGCUCGAACGACCUCGGUGAUUGCCAACUCUUCGGCUGUGGGUUGCUGACCGUUGUCGGAGAAGCUUCAUUCGAUUUGUGCGAUGACCGCCAGGAGGUGGGCGUGGGCGGCCUCGACAUGGUCGUGGACGGCCUCCAUCAGAGCUAAGGCUGCCACUACGAAACGAACAGCUGUUGUGUCGCUCUCGCCAGUUGCUAUCCCCGAGGCAGAUGUUGCUGCCACCACCUCAGAAGCAACAACGGCCGUUUGGGCUGCCUUGGCUGCCCAGUUGCAAUUUUUGGCCGUGCUCACACAACUUGUUAUCAUGCGCAUGGCGGCUUGAUACAUCUCCAAUGUAUCUAUAAUUUUUGAUUGUUCCAUGCUAUUAUAUUAUCUGUUUUGGAUGUUUUAUAUGCAUUAAUAUGCUAUUUUAUAUUAUUUUUGGGACUAACCUAUUAACCUAGAGCCCAGUGCCAGUUUCUGUUUUUUUCGUGUUUUUGAGUUUUACAGAAAAGGAACACCAAACGGAGUCCAAAUGAGCUGAAACUUUACACCGACUUUUUAUGGACCAGAAGAAGCCCACGGAGUAUCAGAGAUGGACUAGAAGAGCCACGAGGCAUCCACAAGGGUGGAGAGUGCCACCCUAGGGCAUGCCCCCUGCCUUGUCGUCGCUUCAUGGACCCCCCCCCCCCUAAUUUGUUCGUGACGCCAAAAAUUCCUAUAAAUAGAUAAAAACCCAGAAAGAAACCUAGAUCGGGAGUUCCGCCGUGGCAAGCCUCUGUAGCGACGAAAACCAAUCGGGAGCCCGUUCCGGCACCCUGCAAGAGGGGGAAACCAUCAUCGGAGGCCAUCUUCAUCAUCUCGCGGCUCUCCAAGACGAGGAGGGAGUAGUUCACCCUCGGGGCUAAGGGUAUGUACCAGUAGCUAUGUGUUUGAUCUCUCUCUCUCUCUCUCUCUCUCUCUCGUGUUCUUGAUUUGGCAUGAUCUUGAUGUACCGCGAGCUUUGUUAUUAUAGUUGGAUCAUAUGGUGUUUCUCCCCCUCUAUCUUCUUGUGAUGAAUUAAGUUUUACCUUUGAGGUUUCAUUAUUAUCGGAUUAAAUACUAUUAUGGAUUUGAGAACACCUAAUGUAUGUCUUGCAUGGGAUACCCAUGGUGACAAUCAGGUGUUCUAUUGAUUCACUUGAUGUAUGUUUUGGCACUCAACUCACAGAUUCCCGAGGUGACAUUGGGGUAAUCUAUGCAUAGGGGUUGGUGCACAUUUUCGUCCUUGUUUCUCCGGUAGGAAUCUAGGGGCACUCUUUGAAGUUCUUUGUGUUGGAUUGAAUAUUAUGAAUCUGAAGUUGUUUGAUGCAUAUCGUAUAAUUGCCCCACGGAUACUUGUGGUGACAUUGGAGUAUCUAGGUGACAUUAGGGUAGAUUUAUGUGUGUCAUAUGAUGUUAUUUUACUACAAACUCUAGGGUUGUUUGUGACACUUAUAGGAAUAGCUCAAUGGAUUGAUCAGAAAGAAUAACUUUGAGGUGGUCUCGUACACUACAAGCAAUUUCAUCGCAUGUUCUCCGCGAUAGGAACUUUGGAGUGACUCUUUGUUGCACAUUGAGGGAUUGCCAUAUGAUCUAAUUAUGUUAUCAUUGUUGAGAGAACUUGCACUAGUGAAAGUAUGAACCUUAGGCCUUGUUUUCAAGCAUUGCAAUACCGUUUUCGCUCACUUUUGCCACUUACUACCUUGCUGUUUUUAUAUUUUCAGAUUACAAAAACCUAUAUCUACCAUCCAUAUUACACUUGUAUCACCAUCUCUUCGCUGAACUAGUGCACCUAUAAAAUUUACCAUUGUAUUGUGUGUGUUGGGGACACAAGAGACUCUUUGUUAUUUGGUUGCAGGGUUGUUUCAGCGAGACCAUAUUCAUCCUACUCCUCCCACAGAUUGACAAACCUUAGGUCAUCCACUUGAGGGAAAUUUGCUACUAUCAUACAAAACUCUGCGCUUGGAGGCCCAACACGAGUCUACAAGAAGAAGGUUGCAUAUUAGACAUCAAGCUCUUUUCUGGUGUCGUUGCCGGGGAGGUGAGUGCUUGAAGGUGAUAUGUCCAUUUUGCAUCAUGUUUUCUUUCUAUUAUUUAUACUGUUUUUAUCUAUAAUAAUGCUUUUUGGAGUAAUUCUAAUGCCUUUUCUCUCACAAUUUCAAGGAACACACCAAGAGGGAGAAUUCCGGCAGCUGGAAAUCUGGACCUGGAAAAGCUACGUUAGGCCACCUAUUCUACCGAACUCCAAAUAAGUUGAAACUUCACGGAGAUUUUUUAUGGACUGUUUAAGAAAUAUUGGAGCCAAUAAACACCAGAGGGGGCCACCAGGUGGGCACAACCCACCUGGGCGCGCCAGGCGCGCCCUGGUGGGUUGUGGCCUCCUUGGCCCACCUCCGGUGCCCAUAUUUUGGUAUAUACGUCAUCUUAACCUAGAAAAAAAUAGGAGGAGUUUUGGGGAACGUAGUAAUUUCAAAAUUUUCCUACGCACAUGCAAGAUCAUGGUGAUGAUAUAGCAACGAGGGGAGAGUGUUGUCUACGUACCCUCGUAGACCGAAGCGGAAGCGUUGACGCAACAUAGAGGAAGUAGUCGUACGUCCUCCGGUUCAACCGAUCCAAGUACCGUUACUCCGGCACCUCCGAGUUCUUGACACGCGUACAGCUCGAUGACGCACCCUCGAUCUCCGAUCCAGCAGAGGCGCCGAGGGGGAGUUCCGUCAGCACGACAGCGUGGUGACGAUCUUGAUGUUCUCCUGUUGCAGGGCUUCGCCUAAGCACCGCUACAAUAUGACCGAGGUGUAAUAUCAUGGAGGGGGGCACCGCACACGGCUAAGGAACGAUCAAUGAUCAACUUGUGUGUUCUAGGGUGCCCCCUACCCCCGUAUAUAAAGGAGGGAGGGAGGAGGUGGCCGGCCCUAGGGGGCGCGCCAUGAGGAGGGGGAAACCUACUCCAAGUAGGUUUCCCUCUCUUUUCCUUAUCUUAUUUGGAGGGGGAAGGAAAGAGUACUAGUAUUAGGAAGUAGUACUAGUAGUAGUAAUAGGAAGAGGGGGAAGGAGAAAGGAAAGGGGGGCCGGCCCCCCUCCCCAAUUCGGAUUGGGCUUGGGGGGGCGCGCCCCCCUCCCUUGCUCCUUCUCUCUUCUUCCUACAUGGGCCCAAUAAGGCCCAUAUACCUCCCGGGGGGUUCCGGUAACCUCCCGGGGCUCCAAACUUCUCCGGAACCUUUCCGGUGUCCAAAUAUAUCCGUCCAAUAUAUCAAUCAUUAUGUCUCGACCAUUUCGAGACUCCUCGUCAUGUCCGCAAUCAUAUCCGGGACUCCGAACAACCUUCGGUACAUCAAAAUACAUAAACUCAUAAUAUAACUGUCAUCGAAACCUUAAGCGUGCGGACCCUACGGUUCGAGAACGAUGUAGACAUGACUGAGACACAUCUCUGGUCAAUAACCAAUAGCGGGACCUGGAUGCCCAUAUUGGUUCCUACAUAUUCUACGAAGAUCUUUAUCGGUCAAACCGCAUAACAACAUACGUUGUUCCCUUUGUCAUUGGUAUGUUACUUGUCCGAGAUUCGAUCGUCGGUAUCCAAUACCUAGUUCAAUCUCGUUAUCGACAAGUCUCUUUACUCGUUCUGUAAUACUUCAUCUUAUAACUAACUCAUUAGUUACAUGCUUGCAAGGCUUAGGUGAUGAGCAUUGCCGAGAGGGCCCAGAGAUACCUCUCCGACAAUCGGAGUGACAAAACCUAAUCUCGAAUUAUGCUAACUCAACAUGUACCUUCGGAGACACCUGUAGUACUCCUUUAUAAUCACCCAGUUACGUUGUGACGUUUGGUAGUACCCAAAGUGUUCCUCCGGUAAACGGGAGUUGCACAAUUCUCAUAGUUACAGGAACAUGUAUAAGUCAUGAAGGAAGCAAUAGCAGAAUACUAAACGAUCAAGUGCUAAGCUAACGGGAUGGGUCAUGUCAACCACCUCAUUCUCCUAAUGAUGUGAUCCCAUUAAUCAAAUGACAACACAUGUCAAUGGUUAGGAAACAUAACCAUCUUUGAUUAAUAAGCUAGUCAAGUAGAGGCAUACUAGUGACUAUAUGUUUGUCUAUGUAUUCACACAUGUAUCAUGUUUCCGGUUAAUACAAUUCUAGCAUGAAUAAUAAACAUUUAUCAUGAAAUGAGGAAAUAAAUAAUAACUUUAUUAUUGCCUCUAGGGCAUAUUUCCUUCAGUCUCCCACUUGCACUAGAGUCAAUAAUCUAGAUUACAUAGUAAUGAUUCUAACACCCAUGGAGUCUUGGUGUUGAUCAUGUUUUGCUCGUGAGAGAGGCUUAGUCAACGGGUCUGCAACAUUCAGAUCCGUAUGUAUCUUGCAAAUCUCUAUGUCUCCCACUUGGACUUGAUCCCGAAUGGAAUUGAAGCGUCUCUUGAUGUGCUUGGUCCUCUUGUGAAAUCUGGAUUCCUUUGCCAAGGCAAUUGCACCAGUAUUGUCACAGAAGAUCUUCAUUGGUCCCGAUGCACUAGGUAUGACACCUAGAUCGGAAAUGAACUCCUUCAUCUAGACUCCUUCAUUUGCUGCUUCAGAAGCAGCUAUGUACUCCGCUUCACAUGUAGAUCCCGCCAUGACGCUUUGCUUAGAACUGCACCAACUUACAGCUCCACCGUUUAAUAAAAACACGUAUCCGGUCUGCGAUUUAGAAUCGUCCGGAUCAGUGUCAAAGCUUGCAUCGACGUAACCAUUUACGACUAGCUCUUUGUCACCUCCAUAUACGAGAAACAUAUCCUUAGUCCUUUUCAGGUAUUUCAGGAUGUUCUUGACCGCUGUCCAGUGAUCCACUCCUGGAUUACUUUGGUACCUACCUGCCAAGCUUAUUGCUAAGCAUACGUCAGGUCUGGUACACAGCAUUGCAUACAUGAUAGAGCCUAUGGCUGAAGCAUAGGGAACAUCUUUCAUUUUCUCUCUAUCUUCUGCUGUGGUCGGGCAUUGAGUUUGACUCAACUUUACACCUUGUAGCACAUGCAAGAAUCCUUUCUUUGCCUGAUCCAUUUUGAACUUUUUCAAAAUUUUGUCAAGGUAUGUACUUUGUGAAAGUCCUAUUAAGCGUCUUGAUCUAUCUCUAUAGAUCUUGAUGCCCAAUAUGUAAGCAGCUUCACCGAGGUCUUUCAUAGAAAAACUUUUAUUCAAGUAUCCCUUUAUGCUAUCCAGAAAUUCUAUAUCAUUUCCAAUUAAUAAUAUGUCAUCAACAUAUAAAACUAGAAAUGCUACAGAGCUCCCACUCACUUUCUUGUAAAUACAGGCUUCUCCAAAAGUCUGUAUAAAACCAUAUGCUUUGAUCACACUAUCAAAACGUUUAUUCCAACUCCGAGAUGCUUGCACCAGUCCAUAAAUGGAACGUUGGAGCUUGCACACUUUGUCAGCACUUUUUGGAUCAACAAAACCUUCAGGUUGCAUCAUAUACAACUCUUCUUCUAGAAAUCCAUUCAAGAGUGCAGUCUUGACAUCCAUUUGCCAAAUUUCAUAAUCAUGAAAUGCAACAAUAGCCAACAUGAUUCGGACAGACUUAAGCAUCGCUACGGGUGAGAAAGUCUCAUCGUAGUCAACCCCUUGAACUUGUCGAAAACCUUUUGCAACAAGUCGAGCUUUGUAGACAGUAACAUUACCAUCAGCGUCAGUCUUCUUCUUAAAGAUCCAUUUAUUCUCAAUGGCUUGCCGAUCAUCGGGCAAGUCAACCAAAGUCCAUACUUUGUUUUCAUACAUGGAUCCUAUCUCAGAUUUCAUGGCCUCUAGCCAUUUUGCGGAAUCUGGGCUCAUCAUCGCUUCCUCAUAGUUCGUAGGUUCAUCAUGGUCUAGUAACAUGACUUCCAGAAUAGGAUUUCCGUACCACUCUGGUGCGGAUCUUACUCUGGUAGACCUACGAGGUUCAGUAGAAACUUGAUCUGAAGUUUCAUGAUCAAUAUCAUUAGCUUCCUCACUAAUUGGUGUAGUUGUCACAGGAACCGGUUCUUGUGAUGAACUACUUUCCAAUAAGGGAGUAGAUACAGUUAUCUCAUCAAGUUCUACUUUCCUCCCACUCACUUCUUUCGAGAGAAACUCCUUCUCUAGAAAGGAUCCGAUUUUAGCAACGAAAAUCUUGCCUUCAGAUCUGUGAUAGAAGGUGUACCCAAUUGUCUUCUUUGGGUAUCCUAUGAAGACACAUUUCUCCGAUUUGGGUUCGAGCUUAUCUGGUUGAAGUUUCUUCACAUAAGCAUCGCAGCCCCAAACUUUGAGAAACGACAACUUUGGUUUCUUGCCAAACCACAGUUCAUAAGGCGUCGUCUCAACGGAUUUUGAUGGUGCCCUAUUUAACGUGAAUGCGGCCGUCUCUAAAGCAUAACCCCAAAACGAUAGCGGUAAAUCGGUAAGAGACAUCAUAGAUCGCACCAUAUCAAGUAAAGUACGAUUACGACGUUCGGACACACCAUUUCGCUGUGGUGUUCCAGGUGGCGUGAGUUGCGAAACUAUUCCACAUUGUUUCAAAUGUAAACCAAACUCGUAACUCAAAUAUUCUCCUCCACGAUCAGAUCGUAGAAACUUUAUUUUCUUGUUACGAUGAUUUUCUACUUCACUCUGAAAUUCUUUGAACUUUUCAAAUGUUUUAGACUUGUGCUUCAUCAAGUAGAUAUACCCAUAUCUGCUCAAAUCAUCUGUGAAGGUGAGGAAAUAACGAUAUCCGCCACGAGCCUCAACAUUCAUCGGACCACAUACAUCUGUAUGUAUGAUUUCCAACAAAUCUGUUGCUCUCUCCAUAGAUCCGGAGAACGGUGUUUUGGUCAUCUUGCCCAUGAGGCACGGUUCGCAAGUACCAAGUGAUUCAUAAUCAAGUGAUUCCAGAAGUCCAUCAGUAUGGAGUUUCUUCAUGCGUUUUACACCGAUAUGACCUAAACGGCAGUGCCACAAAUAUGUUGCACUAUCAUUAUCAACUCUGCAUCUUUUGGCUUCAACAUUAUGAAUAUGUGUAUCACUACUAUCGAGAUUUAAUAAAAAUAGACCACUCUUCAAGGGUGCAUGACCAUAAAAUAUAUUACUCAUAUAAAUAGAACAACCAUUAUUCUCUGAUUUAAAUGAAUAACCGUCUCGCAUCAAACAAGAUCCAGAUAUAAUGUUCAUGCUCAACGCAGGCACCAAAUAACAAUUAUUCAGGUCUAAAACUAAUCCCGAUGGUAGAUGUAGAGGUAGCAUGCCGACCGCGAUCACAUCGACUUUGGAACCAUUUCCCACGCGCAUCGUCACCUCGUUCUUAGCUAAUCUUCGCUUAAUCCGUAGUCCCUGUUUCGAGUUGCAAAUGUUAGCAACAGAACCAGUAUCAAAUACCCAGGUGCUACUGCGAGCAUUAGUAAGGUACACAUCAAUAACAUGUAUAUCACAUAUACCUUUGUUUACUUUGCCAUCCUUCUUAUCCGCCAAAUACUUGGGGCAGUUCCGCUUCCAGUGUCCAGUCUGCUUGCAGUAGAAGCACUCAGUUUCAGGCUUAGGUCCAGACUUGGGUUUCUUCACUUGAGCAGCAACUUGUUUGCCGUUCCGUUUGAAGUUCCCCUUCUUCUUCCCUUUGCCCCUUUUCUUGAAACCAGUGGUCUUGUUGACCAUCAACACUUGAUGCUCCUUUUUGAUUUCUACCUCCGCGGCUUUCAGCAUCGCGAAGAGCUCGGGAAUAGUCUUGUUCAUCCCUUGCAUAUUAUAGUUCAUCACAAAGCUCUUGUAGCUUGGUGGCAGUGAUUGGAGAAUUCUGUCAAUGACGCUAUCAUCCGGAAGAUUAACUCCCAGUUGAAUCAAGUGAUUAUUAUACCCAGACAUUUUGAGUAUAUGCUCACUGACAGAACUAUUCUCCUCCAUCUUGCAGCUGUAGAACUUAUUGGAGACUUCAUAUCUCUCAAUCCGGGCAUUUGCUUGAAAUAUUAACUUCAACUCCUGGAACAUCUCAUAUGCCCCAUGACGUUCAAAACGUCGUUGAAGACCCGGUUCUAAGCCAUAAAGCAUGGCACACUGAACUAUAGAGUAGUCAUCAGCUUUGCUCUGCCAGACGUUCUUAACGUCGUCAGUUGCAUCAGCAGCAGGCCUGGCACCCAGCGGUGCUUCCAGGACGUAACUCUUCUGUGCAGCAAUGAGGAUAAUCCUCAGGUUAUGGACCCAGUCCGUGUAAUUGCUACCAUCAUCUUUCAACUUUGCUUUCUCAGGGAACGCAUUAAAAUUCAACGGAACAAUAGCACGAGCCAUCUAUCUACAUACAAAAAUAGAGAAGCAAAAUACUAUCAGGUACUAAGUUCAUGAUAAAUUUAAGUUCAAUUAAUCAUAUUACUAAAGAACUCCCACUUAGACAGACAUCUCUCUAGUCAUCUAAGUGAUUACGUGAUCCAAAUCAACUAAACCAUGUCCGAUCAUCACGUGAGAUGGAGUAGUUUCAAUGGUGAACAUCUCUAUGUUGAUCAUAUCUACUAUAUGAUUCACGCUCGACCUUUCGGUCCCCGUGUUCCGAGGCCAUAUCUGUAUAUGCUAGGCUCAUCAAGUAUAACCUGAGUAUUCCGCGUGUGCAACUGUUUUGCACCCGUUGUAUUUGAACGUAGAGCCUAUCACACCCGAUCAUCACGUGGUGUCUCAGCACGAAGAACUUUUGCAACGGUGCAUACUCAGGGAGAACACUUCUUGAUAAUUAGUGAGAGAUCAUCUUAAAAUGCUACCGUCAAACAAAGCAAGAUAAGAUGCAAAAAGGAUAAACAUCACAUGCAAUCAAUAUAAGUGAUAUGAUAUGGCCAUCAUCAUCUUGUGCUUGUGAUCUCCAUCUUCGAAGCACCAUCGUGAUCACCAUCGUCACCGGCGCGACACCUUGAUCUCCAUUGUAGCAUCGUUGUCGUUACGCCAUCUAUUGCUUCUACGACUAUCGCUACCGCUUAGAGAUAAAGUAAAGCAAUUACAGGGCAUUUGCAUUUCAUACAAUAAAGCGACAACCAUAUGGCUCCUGCCAGUUGCCGAUAACUUCGGUUACAAAACAUGAUCAUCUCAUACAAUAAAAUAUAGCAUCAUGUCUUGGCCAUAUCACAUCACAACAUGCCCUGCAAAAACAAGUUAGACGUCCUCUACUUUGUUGUUGCAAAUUUUACGUGGCUGCUACGGGCUUAAGCAAGAACCAAUCUCACCUACGCAUCAAAACCACAACGAUAGUUUGUCAAAUAGACUCCGUUUUAACCUUCACAAGGACCGGGCGUAGCCACACUCGGUUCAACUAAAGUGAGAGAGACAGACACCCGCCAGCCACCUUUAAGCACGAGUGCUCGUAACGGUGAAACCAGUCUCGCGUAAGCGUACGCGUAAUGUCGGUCCGGGCCGCUUCAUCUCACAAUACCGCUGAACCAAAGUAUGACAUGCUGGUAGGCAGUAUGACUUAUAUCGUCAACAACUCACUUGUGUUCUACUCGUGCAUAUAACAUAAACGCAUAAAACCUAGGCUCGGAUGCCACUGUUGGGGAACGUAGUAAUUUCAAAAUUUUCCUACGCACAUGCAAGAUCAUGGUGAUGAUAUAGCAACGAGGGGAGAGUGUUGUCUACGUACCCUCGUAGACCGAAGCGGAAGCGUUGACGCAACAUAGAGGAAGUAGUCGUACGUCCUCCGGUUCAACCGAUCCAAGUACCGUUACUCCGGCACCUCCGAGUUCUUGACACGCGUACAGCUCGAUGACGCACCCUCGAUCUCUGAUCCAGCAGAGGCGCCGAUGGGGAGUUCCGUCAGCACGACGGCGUGGUGACGAUCUUGAUGUUCUCCUGUUGCAGGGCUUCGCCUAAGCACCGCUACAAUAUGACCGAGGUGUAAUAUCGUGGAGGGGGGCACCGCACACGGCUAAGGAACGAUCAAUGAUCAACUUGUGUGUUCUAGGGUGCCCCCCUACCCCCGUAUAUAAAGGAGGGAGGGAGGAGGUGGCCGGCCCUAGGGGGGGCGUGCCAUGAGGAGGGGGAAACCUACUCCAAGUAGGUUUCCCUCUCUUUUCCUUAUCUUAUUUGGAGGGGGAAGGAAAGAGUACUAGUAUUAGGAAGUAGUACUAGUAGUAGUAAUAGGAAGAGGGGGAAGGAGAAAGGAAAGGGGGGCCGGCCCCCCUCCCCAAUUCGGAUUGGGCUUGGGGGGGCGCGCCCCCCUCCCUUGCUCCUUCUCUCUUCUUCCUACAUGGGCCCGAUAAGGCCCAUAUACCUCCCGGGGGGUUCCGGUAACCUCCCGGGGCUCCAAACUUCUCCGGAACCUUUCCGGUGUCCAAAUAUAUCCGUCCAAUAUAUCAAUCAUUAUGUCUCGACCAUUUCGAGACUCCUCGUCAUGUCCGCAAUCAUAUCCGGGACUCCGAACAACCUUCGGUACAUCAAAAUACAUAAACUCAUAAUAUAACUGUCAUCGAAACCUUAAGCGUGCGGACCCUACGGUUCGAGAACGAUGUAGACAUGACUGAGACACAUCUCUGGUCAAUAACCAAUAGCGGGACCUGGCUUCCUUGAUGGAUAUUCUGGCUUUUCACAAAUACCUGUUUCUCAACCUGAUCAAGAAAAGACCACUUUUCCUUGUCCCUUUGGAACUUAUUCUUAUAGACGUAUGCCUUUUGGUUUAUGUAAUGCACCUGCUACUUUCAAAGAUGUAUGACUUCUAUAUUCUAUGAUUUUUGUGAAAAGAUUGUUGAGGUUUUCAUGGAUGACUUCUCUGUUUAUGGGAAGUCUUUUGAUGAUUGUUUAAGCAAUCUUUAUCGAUUUUUCCAGAGAUGUGAACAAACAAAUCUUGUCUUGAAUUGGGAGAAGUGCCACUUUAUGGUUGAUGAAGGCAUUGUCUUGGGUCAUAAAAUUUCUAAAAGAGGUAUUGAAGCCGACCAAGCUAAGGUUGAUGCAAUUGAGAAAAUGCCAUGUCCUAAGGACAUCAAAGGUAUUUGUAGUUUCCUAGGUCAUGUUGGUUUCUAUAGGAGAUUUAUCAAAGACUUUCUAAAAUUUCUAGGCCUCUUACUAAUCUCUUGCAAAAGGAUAUCCCUUUUUUUGAUGAUGAUUGUUUAGAAGCUUUUGAAACACUCAAUAAAGCCUUAAUUACCGCACCUAUUGUUCAACCACCUGAUUGGAACUUGCCUUUUGAAAUUAUGUGUGAUGCUAGUGAUUAUGUUGUUGGUGCUGUUCUAGGACAAAGAGUUGAUAAGAAAUUGAAUGUUAUUCAUUAUGCUAGUAAAACUCUAGACAAUGCUCAAAGAAAUUAUGCUACUACUGAAAAAGAAUUCUUAGCAGUUGUGUUUGCUUGUGAUAAAUUUAGACCUUAUAUUGUUAAUUCCCAAGUAACUAUUCACACAGACCAUGCUGCUAUUAAAUAUCUUAUGGAAAAGAAAGAUGCUAAACCUAGACUUAUUCAUUGGGUUGUCUUGUUACAAGAAUUUGAUUUACAUAUCAUUGAUAGAAAAGGAGCUGAGAAUCCAGUAGAUGAUAAUUUGUCUAGGCUUGAAAAUGUGCUUGAUGACCCAAUACCUAUUGAUGAUAGUUUUCCUCAUGAGCAGUUAGCUGCAAUAAAUGUUGCUAAUAGUACUCCUUGGUAUGCUGACUAUGCUAAUUACAUUGUUGCUAAAUAUUUACCUCCUAGCUUUACAUACCAAGAAAAGAAAAAAAUCUUCUAUGAUUUAAGACAUUACUUUUGGUAUGACCCACAUCUUUAUAAAGAAGGAGUAGAUGGUAUUAUUAGACGUUGUGUACCUGAGCAUUAACAGGGACAAAUCCUACGGAAAUGUCACUCUGAGGCUUAUGGAGGGCAUCAUGCUGGAGAUAGAACUGCUCACAAGGUAUUGAAGUCUGGAUUUUAUUGGCCUACUCUCUUCAAGGAUGCCCGUAAGUAUGUAUCAUCUUGUGAUGAAUGUCAAAGAAUAGGUAAUAUUGGUAAGCGCCAAGAAAUGCCUAUGAAUUAUUCACUUGCUUUUGAACCAUUUGAUGUUUGGGGAUUUGAUUACAUGGGACCUUUUCCUUCCUCUAAUGGGUAUACACAUAUUUUGGUUGCUAUUGAUUAUGUUUAAGUGGGUAGAAGCUAUUCCAACCAGUAGUGAUAAUCACAACACCUCUAUUAAAAUGCUUAAGGAAUUUAUUUUUCCAAGGUUUGGAGUCCCUAGAUAUUUAAUGACCGAUGGUGGUUCACACUUUAUUCAUGGUGCUUUCCGUAAAAUGCUUGCCAAGUAUGAUGUUAACCAUAGAAUUGCAUCACCCUAUCAUCCUCAGUCUAGUGGUCAAGUUGAACUUAGCAAUAGAGAAAUAAAAUUAAUUUUUCAAAAGGUUGUUAAUAGUUCCAGGAAGAAUUGGUCUAAGAAAUUAGAUGAUGCACUUAGGGCUUAUAGAACAGCAUAUAAAAAUCCUAUGGGUAUGUAUCCUUAUAAAAUGGUUUAUGGAAAAGCUUGUCGUUUGCCUCUUGAGUUAGAACAUAAAGCAUAUUGGGCAAUCAAGGAACUCAAUUAUGAUUCCAAACUUGCUGGUGAAAAGAGGUUAUUUGAUAUCAACUCAUUAGAUGAAUGCAGAACCCAAGCAUAUGAAAAUGCAAAAUUAUUCAAAGAAAAAGUUAAAAGAUAGCAUGACAAAAGAAUUCAAAAGCGUGAGUUUAAAGUAGGAGAAUAUGUUCUUUUGUACAACUCUCGUUUUAGAUUCUUUGCAGGAAACUCCUCUCAAAAUGGGAAGGCCCAUAUGUCAUCGAGGAGGUUUACUGGUUUGGUGCCAUCAAAAUAAAUAAUUCCGAAGGUACUAACCCGAAGGUUGUUAAUGGGCAAUGAAUAAAGCAUUAUAUCUCAAGUAUGCCUAUUAAUGUUGAAAGUAAUAUUAUCCAAACCAUGACACCGGAAGAACACAUAAAAGAGUCCUUCCAGAACACUCUAGAAUCGUGAAAAUAAGGAGGUACGUGAUACGGUAAGUAAACGGACUCCGAAAAAUCCGCAAAAAUAUUUUUUAUUAGUUUUGGAAUAUUUUAGAAUUUUGGAAAUGAAGAAACUCCCAGGGAGCGUCCCCUGGUGGGCACAAGACACCAAGGCGCGCCAGGCUUGCCUAGCACACCCAGGUGGGUUGUGCCCAACUGGGACACCUCCCGUACUCCAUUUUUCUACCUUAUACUUCUCCUCCAAGAUAAAAAAUAUAUAUAUACUCCCCGAACAUAUUGAUCACCGUAUCACGGAGAAGUCCUUCGUUCUCUUUUCUUGUUGUUUCCUGCGCAGUUUUGAAAAUAUGUCGUCCCAAGACUCCAAUGGUGAGAGCUAUGUCUCGCAUCUCAUUGCUGACCCAAAGGCCUAUGGGGACCUAUCUCCUUAUGGUCGAACUACGGAUGAUGAGGAGGAUGCUCACUUGAUGAGGAUCGAUGACUCAAGCUCGGAGGAGGAGGAUGUUCCCCUACCUCAACCUGGGGAUAUGAAGAUAAAGUUCAAGAAGUCCAGUCUCCCUAAGAUAGCUAACCAUUCUAAUAACCGACCUAUUCCUUCUCAUUUUCGGCAGAAAAGUAAAGGAGAUCUAUGUGACAAGAUCUUGAAAUUUGGAGUUGGAAGUCGAUGAUUUAAAGGAGGAAAUUGAUAUCCUCAACUACAAUAUGAAAAAGUUGAAGGCACAAUUGGCCUCACCACCACCAUCACCUUCUUCACCACCAAAGGAGAACUAAGUAUCAGGCAUGGGCACUCCCCUUGGCUUCCUCCAAGCUUGGGGGAGGUGCCCCGGUAUCGUAUCAUCCCACUAUCUUUUUGCUUUUACUUAUCUUAGUUUGAUCUUUUGCUUUUAGGUGAAAUAAAAGUUUAGUUAUAUCCUUUCUUCCUUCAGAGUUUGCUUAGUGAUCUAUCCUUGUAAUCGUGUGCAAGUUAUAUAAUAAAGUUAGUUUGAGUUUUUGCUUUCUUUGCUUUCAUGUUGUAAAUAAAGAAAAGAAAUAAAGAAAGAAAUAAGAAAGGAAAUAAAUAGAGAAAAUAUUAUAUACUAAUCCUAUGUUAGGUGAUAGCACCACAUAAGGAAAAGUAUAAGUAGAAAAUUUUAUUAAAGAUUGAAAAACAUAGCAUUAGUCAAUGAUGCAACUGAUGAAAGAAUUAAUAAGGGAAGAGAAGAUUCACAUAUAGAUAUACUAUCCUAGAAAUCUUUUGUGAUUGUGGGCCCUCAUCAAAAUAUUAUAUGCCAAAAUUGUUGACGUUGGACAAGGAAGACAACUUAAUGGUUUAUGUUUGUUUAUAUUCACAUAGAAGUCAUAUUGUCAUAGAUACUUUAACAUGUGAUGCUUGCCCCUAUCUUUGCUAGCCAAAAAUUCUGUACUAAGUAGAGAUACUACUUGUGCAUCCAAAAACCCUUAAACCCAAAUCUUAUUUUCAAGUGUCCACCAUACCUACCUAGGGAUUGAGCAAGAUCCCUCAAGUAAGUUGUCAUCGGUGCAAAAAGGCAAUAAAAUUACUUCUAAAAGUGUGAGAUCAUUUAGUGUAAGAGAAAAUUGAGCAUUGCACAAACUGAUGAUGGUGAAGAAUAAAAGCGACAGACUGCAUAAUAAAGGUCGCUAUCACAAGGGGAAAUGUAACAUCACAUUCUUUUGCACUAAGGGAUUGAGCAUACAAGCAAAUAAGCGCAUGGCAACCUCUGCUUCCCUCUGCGAAGGGCCUAUCUUUUACUUCUAUGCAAAGAGUCAAAAGUUUUUCUCUCUAUUUCUUUUAUUUUUCUCUUUUGGAAAGCAUCAUGUGGUGAGGAAAGAUCAAGGCACAUAUGUCCAGUUGAAUAUGGGUGGCAUGAGUUAUUAUUGUUGACAUCACCCUCGAGGUGAGCAUGUUGGGAGGCAAAAUCAUAAGCCCUUAUCUUUCUAUGUGUCCGGUUGAAACGUUUUUCUCAUGGGUAUGAGGUGUGUGCUAGCAAUCAUAGAAGACUAUAUGAUGGUUGAGUAUGUGGACUUGCCUAAAGGCUCCGACAUGUGACUCUUCCUGAAAAGAUGAUGAGUUAUAGUUGCAAAGUUGACUGAGAACAUAGUUUGUUGGUUUCUAAUAGAGUUUUUGCUUUAUACUUCGGUUGUGUGAUGAACUUUACUUAUUCAUAGGAAGUAUAUGAUAAAAGUCCUAUAUUAAAUUUUUUUGCUGUUAUAAUAAUCAACAUGAUGCUUCUAUGUCUGUAUUUUGUUUUUAUUGACACCUCUCUCUUAAAGCAUGUGGACAUGUUUUUCGAUUUCGGUUUUUGCUUGAGGACAAGCGAGGUCUAAGCCUGGGGGAGUUGAUAAGUCCAUUUUGCAUCAUGUUUUCUUGCUGUUAUUUAUAAUGUUUUUAUCCAUAAUAAUGCUUUUUGGAGUAAUUCUAGUGCCUUUUCUCUCAUAAUUUGCAAGGAACACACCAAGAGGGAGAAUUCCGGCAGCUGGAAAUCUGGACCUGGAAAACUUACGUCAGGCCACCUAUUCUGCACAACUCCAAAUAAGCUAAAACUUCACGGAGAUUUUUUAAGGAUUAUUUAAGAAAUAUUGGAGCCAAUAAACACCAGAGGGGGCCACCAGGUGGGCACAACCCACCAGGGCGCCCCAGCCCCCCAGGCGCGCCCUGGUGGGUUGUGGCCUCCUCGGACCACCUCCGGUGCCCAUCUUUUGGUAUAUAAGUCAUUUUGACCUAGAAAAAAAUAAGAGGAGGACCUUCGGGAUGAAGCACCGCCGCCUCGAGGCGGAAAUUGGGUAGGAGCACUUUUGCCCUCCGGCGGAGCGAUUCCGCCGAGGGAACUUCCCUCCUGGAGGGGGAAAUCAUCAUCAUCAUCACCAACAACUCUCCCAUCUUUGGGAGGGUAAUCUCCAUCAACAUCUUCAAUAGCACCAUCUCAUCUCAAACCCUAGUUCAUCUCUUGUAUUCAAUCUUGUUACCGGAACUAUAGAUUGGUGCCUGUGGGUGACUAGUAGUAUUGAUUACAUCUUGUAGUUGGUUACUAUAUGGUUUAUUUGGUGGAAGAUUAUAUGUUCAGACCCAUUAUGCUAUUUAAUACUCAUCUGAUCCUGACCAUGUUUAUUAUUUGUGAGUAGUUACUUUUGUUCUUGAGGUCACGGGAGAAAUCAUGUUGCAAGUAAUCAGGUGAACUUGAUAUGUGUUCACUAUUUUGAUAGUAUGUAUCGACUACAUGACACUUCAACAUAUUUGGGCCUAAGGGAAUGCAUUGUGGUGUAGCAACUGGAUGGUGGGUUGCGAGACUGACAGAAGCUUAAACCCUAGUUUAUGCGCUAUUUUGUAAGGGAUCGAUUGGAUCCAAAAGUUUAAUGCUAUGGUUUGGAUUUAUGCUUAAUACUUUUCUCGUAGUUGCGGAUGCUUGUGAGAGGGUUAAUCAUAAAUAGGAGGUUUGUUCAAGUAAGAACAACACCUAAGCACCGGUCCACCCACAUACUAAAUUAUCAAAGUAGCGAACACAAAUCAAACCAACAUGAUUAAAGUGACUAGAUGAAAUUCCCGUGUACCCUCAAGAACGCUUUGCUUAUUAUAAGAGACCGUUUUGGCCUGUCCUUUGCCUCAAAAGGAUUGGGCUACCUUGCUGCAUACUUGUUACUUUUAUCGUUACUUGCCUGUUACAAAUUACCUUGCUAUCAAACUACUCGCUACUUACAAUUUCAGCACUUGCAGACAAUACCUUACCAAAAACUACUUGUCAUUUCCUUCUGUUCCUCGUUGGGUUCGACACUCUUACUUAUCGAAAAGAGCUACAAUUGAUCUCCUAUACUUGUGAAUCAUUAGAAGGUAUAUCUUUAGAUCUUGCAAUUGAAUAUUUUAGUUUCUUGUUUUAUCACUAGUUUAGUUUAUAAAAGAAAAUUACAAAAAAUGGAAUUGAGGUUGCCACAUAUUAUCCAUCUUUAUAAUGUCUUCCGUAAAAAUGAUGGAAAGGAAAAUUGUGCUCAAGUGUUAGAAGAAGAAGUCAAUAAAAUGUUUGCCACUAAAUCUUUGAAUGGUGAGCAUGAUUGCAAUGUUGUUAGUACGAAUUCCUUGAAUAUCCAUGAUGCUAAUGAUAUGCAAAGCUACAAGCUUGGGGAUGCUAUGUUUGAUGAAGAUGAUAUUUUUUGUCCCCCGAGUUUUGAUGAGCAAAUUUAUUAUGAUGAUAACAUUCCUGCUAUUUAUGAUGAUUAUAUUGAUGGAAGUGGUUUUGGAAGAGCAUCAACUUUAGGUAAUGAUCCCACAGUUUUGGAGGGUGUUGAAUCUUAUUGUCAGAAUUAUGAAAGUGGAUUUGGAGAGGCCAUGACUUUAUUUAGUGAUGAAUCCACUAUUUCGGAAGAGGUUCCAAAUGAUUAUGAGAACAAAGUUGCUAUCUAUGAUGAUUAUUGUGAUGACAUGUAUGCUAUAAAGAAUAAUGAUAACCAUGAAACUUGUCAUCAUGAUUUUAAUUUUCAAUUGGAUUAUGCCUCACAUGAUAGUUAUUUUGUUGAGUUUGCUCCCACUACUACUCAUGAGAAUAAAUUUGCUUAUGUGGAGAGUAGUAAAAUUUGUAUGCUUGUGCAUCAUGAAAAUAAUGUUUAUGUGAUGGUUACAUUGUUGAAUUCAUUCAUGAUGCUACUAAAAAUUAUUAUGAGGGAGGAAUAUAUGCUUGUAGGAGUUUCAGUAAUAUCGAGUUUCCUCUCGAUGUGCUGAAAAUCUUGAAGUUAUGCUUGUUUUGCCUUCCUAUGCUAGUUGAUUCUUGUUCCCAAAAAUUGUUUGGUCACAAAAUCCCUAUGCAUAGAAAGUGGGUUAGACUUGCUAGUCAUAUGCUACAUGAUGCUCCCAUUAUGUUUCAAUUCUUAUCUUUUAUGUGAGCAUCAUUGAAAUCAUCAUGCCUAGCUAAAAAGGCAUUAAUGAAAAGCUCUUGUUGGGAGACAACCCAAUAUUUAUACGUACUGUUUUUGUGUGUUCACAUGAUUUGGAUACUGUAUUAAUCAUUUUUUGUAGAUUUUAUUUCAAUAAAGUGCCAAGUAAGACCUUUGGGAUGGUCUAUGGUGAUAGUUGAUUUGAUCUUGCUGAAAAACAGAAACUUUUGCGCCCAGUAAAAUAAUUUUCUCUUAUUACAAAAGUGUGAUAAAAUCCUGAUUCUUUUUGAAAAAGAUUAAUAUAAAAAUUUCCCAUGUUGCCCUAAUUUUUCAGAAUUUUUGGAGUUACAGAAGUAUACGAAGUUUCUAGAUUACUACAGAUUGUUCUGUUUUUGACAGAUUCUAUUUUCUAUGUGUUGUUUGCUUAUUUUCAUGAAUCUAUGGGUAGUAUCGGAAGGUAUGUACCACGGAGAAGUUGGGAUACAGUAGAUAUAACACCAAUAUAAAUUUAUAAUGAGUUCACAACAGUACCUAAGUGGUGAUUUUCUUUAUUAUACUAACUGAGCUUACGAGUUUUCUGUUGAGUUUUGUGUUGUGAAGUUUUCCAGUUUUGGGUAAAGUUUUGAUGGACUACGGAAUAAGGAGUGGAAAGAGCCUAAGCUUGGGGAUGCCCAAGGCACCCCAAGGUAGUAUUCAAGGAUAACCAAGAGCCUAAGCUUGGGGAUGCCCCGGAUGGCAUCCCCUCCUUCAUCUUCGUUCAUCGGUAACCUUACUAGGAGCUAUAUUUUUAUUCACCACAUGAUAUGUGUUUGCUUGGAGCAUCAUUUUAUUUUACUAGGAUUUUCUUGCUAUUUGAAUAAUAUCCCAAGAUCUGAAAUUCUUAAAUGUUAGAGAGUCUUCACAUAGUUACAUAAUUAUUCGACUACUCAUUGAUCUUCACUUAUAUCUUUUGGAGUAGUUUGUCGUUUGCUCUAGUGCUUCACUUAUAUCAUUUUAGAGCAUGGCGGUGGUUUUAUUUUGAAGAAAUUAUUGAACUCUCAUGAUUCACUUAUUUUUGUGGAAUUGGCACGGCAGAUGUCCUAGUGUGAGGACUUAGUCGUGAGGCCAGCACAUCUUUGUGGUAGCUUGAGAGGGGUUGAUCGGGAUGAGAGACAUAGGCCGGAUCAAUGCACAAGACAAGGAUUUAGACAGCUUCGGGCCCCGGGAAACAUCAUCCUGUAAUAGCUCUACAUGUUGUUUGUGCCUAGAUAUCAUUAUGGUUAUGAGAGAGUCGCCGCAUAGCCGGCUCCCCCUUUGUGUCUAGCCCUAGAGAUUGUUUCUUUCUUACUUGUCCCUCUUUGGGGAGCCCUGCCCCUCCUUAUAUAUGUUGAAGGGGCGGGUUACAUGACUAGUCCUAGUAGGAUUAGGAUUACUCUAUUACAAGUGGAGUCCUGGUCUUGCUUCCUUUGCAGGAGAAUAUUCCUUAUGUCUUCCUCUUAAGUCGGACCACCAUAACAUGAGCCGGCCUUCUGGGCCUUGGGCCUUGUCAUCCAUCUGAAACACCCACCGGGUCACCAAUGAGUCUUUAGGCUCGUGAGUUGUCACACCAGUGAACCGCCAGACACAUGAGCUGCCAAUCCUCUGGCGGGUUGCCAAUGAAAUGCCAAGUCCGGCCGGGUCAUAUAUCCGGCCGGGUCAUACCGUGGGGUAUAUCCCCGACAUUAGCCCCUAGUUUAAUUUGGAUUUAUCCAUAUUAAACUAAUCUGCAAUAUAAACACAAGAACAAAUUUUAUAGGUUGUGCUCCGGGUUAAAUUUUUUUGUAAGCCGGCACCUGAUCAUCCUUAAGUCCUUGACAUUUCUCCCGGAAAAUCUGGGUCAAUAGGCCAGCUUCAUAAUCCAUUUGCUGACAUUGGCUCUUGUAAAGAAAUAUUAUAAGAGAUAAUCCAUUUGAGUCGGCCUUCAAUGCUCUGAUUUUAAAACAUAUUUGUCUUGAAAUAUUCAACUGAUAUUCAACCGACUUAAAGAUGUAGAUCUUGCCGAUUUAUGAUUGCCAAAAUUGUCGGGUUAUAAACAAAUGAUGCCGGGUCAUGCAAUUGUUGCUGAUGUCGGGUUAAUCUUAUGAUGACGUCGGGUCAUAAACUUUGCAGAUUUCUCCGAUAACAAUAUAAUACCUGAUUUGCUCAAAACUGAGAAUUUGAAGUUAUUCCUCCCUUAUAUGCAUAUCACCUGUAGCCCCCAAGUGCCAGGUUGUCAUGCUUGCAGCAACCUGGGACUUGUAAUUGCCUUAUGCUCAUAAAAAUUUCAACUAGUGUAGCCCCCAAGGGCCGGGUAAUUAUGCAAUAAUGAGCAGGGACUUUGUAAAUAUGAUCAUGUAAACUUGAGCAGCAACAUGUAGCCCCCAAGGGCCGGCUCAGUAAGAUAUUACUGAGCUGGGACUGUGUAUAUGAUUCAUUGAUAAUAACAUCAUAUGAUGUAAUCUCCACCAUGGAGCUUGAACCCACAUCCACAAGGUUAAGAGCUUUGUACUCUACCAUCUGAGUAGUGGAUCUUUCAAUAUAAUGGAUUAAGGCUUGUGUACCUUGAAUUUUCGACAGGAGCAAUUGGUAGCCCCCAAGGGCCGGCUCAUUUAGAAUGUGAUGAGUCGGGUCUUCAAUAAGUUGAGCAAAAAAUGAUUUGUAUUAGCCCCCAAGUGCCAUGGUGCAUGCUGGCAGUGACAUGGGACUUGCAUAUUCAAUGUAAUCUCAACUUGAAUAAUGUAGCCCCCAAGUGCCGGGUCAUAAGCCUACAGCGACUCGGGACUAUUCCUUCCAUUGUAGAAUAAAUUAUAUCCAUUGAUAAAAUAAUAUCCAUUGCACUGAAGCGACUUUGAAAACCUCAAUCAUAACAUUGGUUAUUGAUAACCAUAAUAAAAAUCCAGCCAUGUUGGCUAUUAAAGAUUUGAAUAGUAUAACUCGGUUUGAAAAACUGGUUCCUGUGAUAUUGAAUCGUACUGCCGAUCUAGGAUACCUAUGCAGUAAGGGUGAUAACCCAAUCUUUAGAAGCCAAAAACUUCCAAAUGUUUAUGAUUGUCAUAUAUGGCGACUUAUCAUCCAAACUCAAGUCGGGUUAAUCGAAACCACAUAUAUGCUUCAGAUAUGAACAAAAAGUCUCAAGACAAACCCAACAGACCGUUUUCAAAAAAACUUAAGCAAAAUAGAAAGAAUAAUUUGAGGCUUCUGAUUCGAAUAUGAUCAGUAAACCGGACCAAAGGGGUUAAGCUAGGAUUCGAAUACGAUCAUGUAGCCCCCAGUGGCUUUGGCGUUGCGCCGAUCAAGAGUGUACCGACAGCUAUGUUCUCUUUGGUUCGAAUACGACCUAUGUUUGAACAGGAAGCCCCCAAAUGACCUUGACAGUUUUUUAACGACUCUGAUUCUAAUACGAUCAAAGUCGGACCCAAAAGGGGUUAAGCUAUGAUUCGAAUACGAUCAAGAAGCUCCCUAAUAGGUUUGGCAUUGCGCCGAUCAAGAGGGUACCGAUAGCUAUGUUCUCUUUGGUUCGAAUACGACCUAUGUUUGAACAGGAAGCCCCCAAAUGACAUGUAACUGUGGCUAUGAGCCGGAUCAAAGGGUAAUCAUAGCUUAGCUCGAUAAGCCGGAAGCCCCCAAGUGAUAUAUUUCUGAGCAGUGCUCGCCAGGUGCCUAUGUUUGAGUUGUGUUGUGCAACAAACUCUCUUUGGUCCCUGUAAUUUUUCUAAGAACUCGAACUUGCGAGAGAUUAUUUCUUUUAAACCGAGACUUUAAACCGAAUAUUGAGAGCUUCCAAAGCUUUGUGGGAGAUAGAUUUACCUUGAACCGGAAUCCUUCGUGAUAACCUGGAGUUCUUCUAUUGAGCCGGAACUCUAUGAUUGUCAAUCCCUUUUUAAGCCAGAAAUUUUUUGACGGCCUUUAAAUUUUCACCAACAGGGUAGUAGCCUCCAGGGCCGGGUUAUUUUUCCCUCCAAUGACCCAGAGUUCUUGAAUUUUGCUGAAACUAGCAACAUUUGUUGGGUCAUGUCAUCAUAGCCCCUGAGUCUCAAGGUGACUCGAGGAGUUCGCUUGAGAUUCUCCAUAAUUGACCGUGAUAUAAACCGGUAUGAGUCAUUCAACAACUCAGUGAUAUAACAGUCCUUUUUGCAGUAAACAUCUUGUCCUGCAUUAAAGAACUUGCAAGCCAGAGUAAUUGCUCUUUUUGAAGAAUGCCAAUAUGUAAUAUAAAAAUAUUCUGGAUGGAUUUCACCUGAUAUGUUAGACCAGAAAUUAUCCACCGCGGAGUUGAUGAUCACCACGGUGAAGCUAAAAUCAAUCACGCCCGAUUCGGCCACGGGAACAAACAGAUGAGCCGGCCACGGCGUUGUAAGCCAGCCCGGACGGGCGAGGCAAUCGCAGGCGCGGUAAGCCGCACGGACGGGUGAAUCAACCACGUCAUCUUGAUGUAAACUGGGCCGUAAAAAGGUGGUUUCCACAUAUAUUCAUCUAGCAUCAUGGCACGGUCAGAUGCUGGCGCAUGAUAAUUGUGACGUGAUCUAUACGUCCAUGACAUGGCCAUCGCUCUUGCAGUGAACAAUUGUCCUGCAUAAACAAUAUUGCAGACCAAGGCAAAGAUAAACUGCUCUUUUGCAAAAAUAAUAUGUGCAAGUACGAUAAAUUUAAAUGAAUAUCACCUGAUUUGUUCGGAUGAUGGAUGAUCCAUUCAACACGAUAGAGGCGGUUCAGGCAGACCGGUGACUCAAUAUGGCCCCGGCAGCUCAACGCGGCCCUGACGGUUGGCCGGCUCAUCAGGAGAGGCUACGACAGCCAGAGCACACGAAGGGAGCGGUAAGCCGGCCUGCAGAAGAGAACUGUGCAAGGAGCCUGCGGUUUUUUUCCUUUUUGAACCGGUCACAUGCCCACAUCCAGGGCGGCUCGCGACGGAUCAACAUGCCGGCGAGGCCGCCUGUAGGCGAUUUGUAGUGAUGAAGACGGGACUAGCUCAAGGGAGACCCUCAGGCAGGAACAACUCAGGGAGGUUCCCUGCGGCGGUGAGACAAGUUCGUCAUGCGGGCGGCUCGCGGGCCCGCAUCUCAGACAGCGGGCGGCUCUUCGCGCAGCGGCAGUGGGGCGACGAGGUGGCCACCUGCGGUUGAAAACUGUGCUCGAGAUGACAAUGUGCUCUGCGAUGAGUCAGCGAAGGCGCGCAUCAGCUUGUCACUACCGAGGCGGCGCAAGGGGCGAUUGAUUAGUUCCAUAACUCCUGUUUAUAAAUCGUUGAAGGACAGGGAUCCGAGCCACACUCCAAACCGUUGACCCUUUGACCAAAAUGUGCAAGAAUUUGACGAAGGAACCUGUCCAUCGGGAUGAUCGGAUGAGGCAGAGCUCAUGACCCCAUCGCUGUUGAUGUACUUGGAUAGUNNNNNNNNNNNNNNNNNNNNNNNNNNNNNNNNNNNNNNNNNNNNNNNNNNNNNNNNNNNNNNNNNNNNNNNNNNNNNNNNNNNNNNNNNNNNNNNNNNNNNNNNNNNNNNNNNNNNNNNNNNNNNNNNNNNNNNNNNNNNNNNNNNNNNNNNNNNNNNNNNNNNNNNNNNNNNNNNNNNNNNNNNNNNNNNNNNNNNNNNNNNNNNNNNNNNNNNNNNNNNNNNNNNNNNNNNNNNNNNNNNNNNNNNNNNNNNNNNNNNNNNNNNNNNNNNNNNNNNNNNNNNNNNGUGGAGGACGAGUCUGAUUUCUUGUUCGAUUCCAUGCCGACCGCGUUGACGGCUCAGACUUCUACGUCUGCGACUCCGGCUCUGCCUCGUGCGGUUCCGACUCAUGUGCUAGCUUCAUGAAAGUACUGAUUCCAUAUAUGCAACUUGCGUACCAAAACACGGCGGCUCAGGCGGAUUGCAGCUUGUGUCCUUCACGCACACAUAAUAUGCA
rnacentral:lncRNA from 1 species